UAUGGUCAGAUAAUGUGGAAGAAUUCUACCCUGAAAGGUUUAUGAAUAGUAACGUUGACCUACGUGGACAUGACUUCCAGCUCAUACCAUUUGGGUCUGGUCGAAGACGGUGCCCUGCUAUGCAAUUAGGGUUAACCACAGUUCGUCUUGCUCUGGGAAACUUGUUGCACUGCUUCAACUGGGAGCUCCCUAGUGGAAUGCUACCUAAAGACUUGGACAUGACUGAGAAAUUCCGCUUAUCGUUGUCGAAAGCCAAACACUUGCUUGCCAUGCCGACGUGCCGCCUGUACAAUCGACCUUAAUAUCUAUAGUACGUCUAGGCAUAAAUUGGAUUAAUGCAAAUAUCUUGUAGCUCAGUUGAUUAAGAAUAUUAUUCCUUGCCUUUGAGGUAGUUUGUUCGAUUUCCCUCUUGUAAAAAAUAAUUUGCUUGUCAUAAUGCCCACCUAUGUACCGCCUACACGGUCAACCUUCACAAAGGGUUGAAAUAAAUGUUUUGUAGUUAUAAUAGUGUUUCUUUGAGUAAUGCUAGGGAGACUGUUAAAUUUGUAGACUAAACUUACAAACUAAAUAAUAUGUUACAAAUAAGAAAUGAACACGUUUAUCAACAAUUAAAUGAUAAUCCAAUUAUCAACUUUCAUGUCAUUUAAUUUACAAAAUUUAAUCUCCCUAGCAUUACUCGUGUUCCUUUUAUGCCACCUCUGACUAGGAAAGAUUAAAGUAGUUACAUCGUAAAAGUAUUAACCAUAAUACGUUUUUCAUUCUCUUAAUUAAUGUUUAAAAUUAUCUUACAAAAAGCUAAUACAAUUGGAGCUGGUUUAGAUUAAUAUUUCAAUAAUUGCGCCCUUUUUACUUACAUAUCUAAGUUUAUCACUUUAUGUGUACUAGUUUGUUUUGUUUUUGGGUUUUGCACUUAGGUUUCAUUCAUUCGUUCAUUAUUUAUUUCUUUCCUUCUUUCCUCAUUCUUCUUUUUUUUUUCCCAUUUAUAUUUUCUCCACAUCUCAAACACAAAAUGUAAAAACUAAAAAUCAAAUAGCCAUCAGACGAAUUCUUAAAUUUUACUCUCUUAAAAUAUACUUUUUCUCUGGAACUCUCUCAUGUAGCACUCAUCUCGCUAUUUUUUCUUCUUAUAAUACAAUGAUAUGUUUACACCAAAGGAGACAAUAAACCGGUAUCAAACUUGUCAUUCAUAAGAUUCGAAUCUAAAACCACUCACUUACAAGUGAAGGGUAUUAAGGGUACAAGUGUAAUACGGUUAGAAAUAUAGUUAGUAAUAUAGUUAGUAAGGUUGUUAGUAUUUGGUUAAAAGUAGUUAGGAUUUAUCUUAUAAAAACAGUGUGUAAUCUUCAUUUUAGUCAGUUAAUCCAAAUCCUAUUUCUCUCUCUAAACUAUCUAUGUCGCUCUCUAAGAUCUCUGUGUUCAUUCUUCUUCAUCUUCCUUCUUAAUUUUCCUUUCAAUUCUCAAACAUUGCAAUGUAGUUAACAUGGUAUCAGAGCCACCAGGCUCACGCCAUAGAUUCUGGUGGUUCCACUUCCCAUUAUUUUUCAUAUGUUUCUAGCUUAGUUCUUUCCAAAUUUUCAUUAGAUGUUUGAAUAAAUUUCUGGGUGCUUCCGCGAUCGUUGUUUUACUUAUGGGUUGAUUUUUCUGGAUUGUGAUUAGAGAUUUCUCUACUGAACGUGAUUGAUUUUCACCGAUCUUUACUUCUCAUCGAUUUUGGGGAUUGAAUUUCUUGUUCUGAUGCAGAGUCGGCAAGUAAGUACCCUGAGUCAUGUUCACAAGGUGUUCGAAGGAAGACCUGAGAGAAGAAGUGUGGUACCCGAAUUUGUUUCUUGACGAACCGAUUUCAAUUCACGAUGUUCUUGGCCCGUCCUCUGCUUUGGUUCCGAGCGAUGUUAAUCAGGGUUGGGAUAUUAUCUUAUCGCCGGCCUGCGAUUCCAAUUCCAACAUGGUUUUUGAUGUUUCUGAUGCCAAGAACAUGGUCGAUUGGUCCCGGAUCAUCCUAUUGCUGGGCUCGAAAGGGUUCGUUUCUUUCGUUGUCGGGCUGAACCCUAUUCUUGAUCGUUGUUCAGGCAUUUCUUGUGCUGCAAUGGCUUCUUGGGCUUGCAGGGCACCGUAUAAGGCUGCAGGUUCUUGAAAGCUUGUGAAUUGUGGGAGAUUAUAAGGGUUUGAAGUCUGUGACAAUGGAUACGCUUCAAGCUCCAAGCUUGGUGGAAGAAAGAUUGUGAGAUUCCAUAUUCUGCCUUAGAUUGAUGAGAGACUUCUGGUUUUCUCUCUCAGCAUUCUUGGGUCAAGAUUGAAGUUCUUAUCAGGUUCUUGAUUUCUGGGUUUUCACAGUGCACAUAAUCUGUUUGAUUAAAUGUUUCAGUAAGAAAAUGUUCACUAUUUUGUUCAUCUUUGUUGUGAAUCUCUUCUGGGAUAUUAGUGUAAUAUUUGGGAUAUUUAGAUUCAAGAAUAUUGAUCGUCGUGGUUAGUUUGAGUUUUCUUUGGGUAUUCAAUAAGGUGAAUUGUAGUGAUUUGUGGCUUGGUGCGAUGGGUUUUGAAGAUGGGUUAUGUUUGCAGCUUAUUUUAUGUAUCAAGUAUCUUAGGUUUUGAAGAUGAGUUUGUUAGCAUUGUUUCCGGUUUUUGUGAGUGGAUGAUGUUGUUGCCUGUGUAGAGGAUGAAAGUACUGGCUAUAUAUUACCAAACAAAUGGAUCUGAACCCCUGUUACCUGGUCAGUUUGUCAGCAAUUUGACUGAUGGUGAUGUAUCUGUAGUUUCACCCAAUCUUAGCAGUAUAAAAUGGAGUAUAAGAGGAUUGCAUUUAGUGCCUCUGAACUUGUAAGAAAUGGACAAGGAAACUCUCUUGAAACUGGCAGUCUCAUUUCAGUGAAUCUUGGCAGAUCAGUGUGCCAGGGCAAAGCAGCGAAGCAAGCAGCAAUGCCUGUUUAUUAGAUUCAGCAAAGGUUACUGGAGUGAGUGUUCAGGUGCUAACUGAGGAGUUGUGCAGUAUAUUUCUUAUCACAGCCUGUAAUUUCAGAGUCUAACCAACUCAGUUGUUAGCAUGAAUCUACAGUAAGUCCGGUUAUACAAUAAAGUUUGAAGAAGUUGUAAACGGUAAAUCCCAUGAAGGGUAAUUCCAUGAUAUGAAUAUGUAAAUCCCACAAAGGGUAGAAGAAGUUAACGGUAAAUCCCACGAAGGGUAAUCCCGUGUUUUGAGUAGGUAAAUCCCACGAAGGGUAAUCCUACAUAGAUGUUGAUUUUCAAUUGUUGAAAUUGUGAAGGCCGAUGCCAUUGUUCAAAGAAGUUGUUUUUUGGUAAAAUCCAUAAAGGGCGAUCCCGUGGUUCUAUAGUUAAGGCCAAUACCACACUAUAGUUUGUUAAUUUUCUGUUUUUGUAAAUAUUAAAGGCCUAAGCCAAGUUGAAUGAGAUUGUUGACGGUGAAUCCCACGAAGGGUAAUCCCGUAAGAAGUUGUUAUACCGGCAUGAGGGUGUGCUAUAACUACUUUAUAGAAGGUUGUUCUUGUGUAAAACUCCUGAUAGAGGCAGAGGAAUACAGGGUGUCUUUAUUUGUAAGGCAAUGGAAGAAAUUUGGACUGACAAACAGAGGUUUUUGGUCAACAGCUACAAAGAGGUCAUGGGGUACACUUGUUUGAUUCAGGGCUCUGGGAAAGCUAUAAGCUUUGGUGAUAUGAUUUGAGUAUAUGCGCUUACUCUCUGUCGUAUGGCCGUACAUCUGCUUCAAGUUGUAAGAGAUUCAUUUGGAAAUAAACCAAUGGAUGAAUCUUAUGCCAAGUCUUUUGAGCAUGCUUAUCAAAUGCUAACCGAACUACAUGCACAAUUAGUUCUAUCCCUUUUAUCCAAUAAUCCAGUUUUGCAUAAUUGUUUUGUAGUGGAGAUGGUUGUUUGGCUCGUUUUCUGCAUGGCUUGCUGUUGAAGUGUUUUUGAAGUUAGUAUUCACUGUGAUGAUGUUUGAAUAGUUGCCUUCUAUCAGAUAGUGUUAGAGAAUCUAUCUGUUGAUCAAUGGAAGAAAGAUCGUUAUUUCAAAAACCUGUGUGAGAGCAGGUCUAGUUUUUCCAGCAGAGUGAAGGAUAAUCAGGUCUUGUCUUUCUUGUUUGCAGCAGGCUAAUCCAAAGUGUUGACUCUAGUUAAAGUGCUACAUGUGGACAGAUGUUUGGGUAUCAAUCCAAUGGUGGUUUUCCUAAAUCUACAGUUUCAGUGCUACCAUGUCUCAAUUCUUCCAAUCUCAAACUGAGUUUCCCCAGUUGAGAUUGAGGGGAAGUAUUAAGGGUACAAGUGUAAUACAGUUAGAAAUAUAGUUAGUAAGGUUGUUAGUAUUUGGUUAAAAGUAGUUAGGAUUUAUCUUAUAAAAACAGUGUGUAAUCUUCAUUUUAGUCAGUUAAUCCAAAUCAUAUUUCUCUCUCUAAACUAUCUAUGUUGCUCUCUAAGAUCUCUGUGUUCAUUCUUCUUCAUCUUCCUUCUUAAUUUUCCUUUCAAUUCUCAAACAUUGCAAUGUAGUUAAUAAAGGGUAGUAAAGGAGAAUAUUGUGGUAGCAAAAAUAUGUCGUUUUCUGCCUAGACGAAUUUUUACCUACAAAACAAAUAAACACAUGUGAUCAAAGACAAAGCCCCGCGCCCAAAGAGUGAAGGUGGGGGGUGUUUGGCCAAUGAAUCUUCAAUGUCUAAGUCAGUUUCUCUGAAAAGAGAGAGGUUUAGGGCUUAAUUGUGUAGCAAAAGUUUACUAAAAUUUGGUGGAGAAUGGGGUAUUUAUAGGAGCUAGGGUCACCAUGGAGGAGAGAGAUCUCGUGCUAUGUAUCGUCAUCCAGUUGGCUAAGGUGUGUCAUUCGUUGGAUGGAGUAGGUAAAGAAUUAUCCCAAUGAUAUUAUUGAAUAAAUAAUAUCUUAGAAUUAUCUUGUGGGUCCCUGAUUGGAUUUGAUGAAAAUUUCUUGCUUGAUUAUGUAUUGUAGUCAAAUCUCAUAUUUGCACUCGAAUAUAUCAAUGUUACGCAAGUGCAAUUAAGAUAUUUGCCCUAGUUUCAUAUAAUCUGUUAGGCACUGAUAGGAACAUAUUUAUGCGACUUAGUUAGCUUGUUCUUGUGCAUUUGUGUUGUUAUUUCUUAGUUAAUUAUGUAUUUUAAGCUAUUUUCGUGUGUUUGUAGGUCAUAAUAGCAAAGUUGGCAAGAAAGUGCAUUUUGGAGCAUUUUAGAGCAUUUUUGAGCCAAGAUUGGAUAGUGCAAGCAUGGAGACAUGAGGAUGGACGUUUGUGAAGAUUUGAAGGCUAGAAAUUAGCAUGUGUGUGUGCAAGUGUGUUGACCUACAACUCCAAACAUCCAUCCACUACACCCAUUACAUCCACUCAUUACCAAACAUCCACCCACUACACCCAUUACAUCCACUCAUUACCACAACACUCACCCACUACACCCAUUACAUCCACUCAUUACCAAACACUCACCCACUACCCAUUACAUCCACUCAUUACCAAACACUCACCCACUACACCCAAUACAUCCACUCAUUACCAAACACUCAUCCACUACACCCAUUACAUCCACUCAUUAUCAAACAUUUACCCACUACACCCAUUACAUCCACUCAUUACCACAACACUCACCUACUACACCCAUUACAUCCACUCAUUACCAAACACUCACCCACUACCCAUUACAUCCACUCAUUACCAAACACUCACCCACUACACCCAAUACAUCCACUCAUUACCAAACACUCAUCCACUACACCCAUUACAUCCACUCAUUAUCAAACAUUUACCCACUACACCCAUUACAUCCACUCAUUACCACAACACUCACCUACUACACCCAUUACAUCCACUCAUUACCACAACACUCACCCACUACACCCAUUACAUCCACUCAUUACAACUCCAUACACUCCUCUCCCUAGCCUAUAAAUACAUCCACCCUUCACCAUAAUUAGGGGGCCAUCAUCCAAAGACACCACAUCAUGUACACAACUCUCCACCCUUCACCAUAACUCACCUAUAUCCAUCCACCACCACAAGAGACCAUCCAUUCACCACUCACACCUUGGUGCUGCAUAUUUGCAAGGAAAGAGGAUUGCUUGGAGUUGUGCUAGUCAUUCAAUUUGGAUUGCUGGAGCAUUCUAGGUGUAUUCUACUUUGGUUUUCAAUGUUUAAUUUCAAUUGCUUCUGUUUAAUUGCAAGUAUGAGGAACUAAACCUCUUUUGGCUAGAGGAGAAUUCGAAACCAUGAAUAUAUUUGCAAUAUGAAUUUAUUACUUCUAAUUGUGAUUUGAUAAGUUGUGAUUGCAAUUCAAUUAUCUAUUUUAUUCAUAACGGAUUUGUGUAUGUUUAUUAAGGAUGCAUACUUAGUUUUCAUGCAUGAAUUUGAUGCUAGGAUAUAAAUAAGUUUCACCUAAUCGUUACAAGUUUAUAUUCAUGAGUAGUGAAGGUUGCUUGUCACAAUCGCGUUAAUUGAAUUCUUGGCAAACGUAUCAUGCAUUCAUAGUUACAAUUGCCUCGUCAAUGCUUAUGAUUUUCAUGGAACGUAAUGAUCUUUAAUUGUCGCAUGCAUUCAUCCAAUUCAAUGAGUAAAGGAAAAUCUGAGGGUUAAUUUGUGCAUCACGGUUAAUCUGGGGUGUUGAGCAUCAUAGUUUAUUGAAAAGCAAUUGGAGAUUGAUUUGUAUGCAAGUGUGUCAUGUGUGGAGAAAGACCUUCUAGCUAGCCCAUCAUCCAUCCAAAACAACCAAUUUCGUGCAAAUCUGUUUAGUUCUAGUUUCUGUUUUGUUUUACUUUAUUUUCGUCCAAAACCCAAUCCCCAUUUACUUUAGUGUGUCUAAUUAGUUAAAAUCUGUUUUAGUUUGUGUUUUUAAGUGUUUUGAGUCUAUAAAGUGUAGUUAAGUGUUUUUAAGUUUCUUUUUGUAAGUCAGUUUAGUUUAGAUUAGCAAUCCCUCCUAAUCCCCGGUCCAGAACGAUCCCUACUUAUACAUAUACUACAAUUGUCAAAAGAGGGUUUAAUUUGAGUGCUUAACUUUCAUCGCAUCAGGCACAUUCUUUAAUUAGCUUUGGCAAAAUUCUACGAAAAUUUACGAAACCACUAUUUUCAAAGAAUUUUUUUCCACACAACAAGCUUUUUAAAAUUCUUGCUAGACAAUGUAAAGAAGUCUGGAAAUGAUAGUAAGGCCACUUUCAAAGGGCAUUAUGUUUUCCUUAUUACUGGUGUUGAUGCACAAAAUCAGUGAGGACUUUGGUACAACAGAAAAUGUCAAGUUUGUGACCUUCACUAGAUUGCUCCGGUCACUAGUGUGGAUAAAUAUGUAAAUGGAUAGAGACAGGGAAGUAAACACAAGAUGUACGUGGUUCACUUAGAUUGGCUACGUCCAUGGAGUAGAGGAGUUCUCAUUAAUUGUGAAGGGUUUACACAAGUACAUAGGUUCAAGCUCUCCUUUAGUGAGUACUCGUGAAUGAUUUAGUACAAAUGACAUUAGGAAAUAUUGUGGGAGAAUGAUCUCCUUUUAUAGAAGAGAGUUUCUAGCUUUAUUCUGACAUUGACACGUGUCGUGUUGUGAUUGGCUUCCGAUGUUGACACGUGUCGCGUUAUGAUUGGCUUCUGAUGUCGACACGUGUCGCACUGUGAUUGGCCUCCUGGUUUGAGGGAAACUAUUCUGGGUCCUUGAUGGUAUAACGUUGAUCAGUGCUCGGUAGUUUCGGGAUUGGUCAAGUAUGGUACAAACAGUGCUCCCUUAAGUUCCCGAGUGAGGGAAGCUCCUCGGUUAGGGACUUGCAAGAUCCAAGCCAUUGAGUAAUCACGAAACUUCUAAGUACCGAAGUGUGGUAUCGUCUUCACUUGCCUUAUUUGUCUUAUAGGUAGAUGUGGCAUCUUCUCCGGAAGUACUUUUCCUCCAUCCAGAUGUGGUAUCUUUAACCGGUGGAGAUGCACUAGGUAAUGUAUCAAUUUGACUUGAAGCUUACUUGUAAUUUCAAGCUUGGUCAAGCGCGAUACAAACCAUGUAGUAGGAGUCCCCCAAGUCGCCGAGCUAGGAGAUUUGCCUAAAGAGGUGACAUACAAGGUAAGCAAUCAGAGUUCCAAGCAAUCAGAAGUUUGAUUUCGAGUUCCGGCUGAUUGUUCUCAUUCUCCCUAUCUUGCAGGCAUGAAGAAGGAUAAAGAGAAGAAAAAUGAGAAGAUAUGAUAUGAGAUACUUUUGCUUUUGAAGAAGUAACUUUCCACAGGCUUAUUCUUGAACUGGGCUGGAUGGUGGUUUCCUUAAGAGUAUAAGGCCGACUCAAGAAUUUGAGGGUCAAAAUAAGUCUAUCAAAUCUAGAGUACAUUCGACCCUGAUGAUAUGGGGUACUUUUGUUGUUGACAAAGUAGUGGAUGUAUCGGCAUGUGUUCUGUUAUGCUUGUCUCCACAUGCUUCCUUGUAUCCUUCUCACUUGCCCUAUCUGUUCCUUAGGCAGAUAUGGUAUCUUUUUUGGAAGCAUAAGAUGUUGAAGAUGAGUACUCGAGAGCAAUGCCAGAUAAGUAAUCAAGCAAGGGGUUCCAGGCAGUCAGUUCCUGACUGGAAGCUUGAUUCCAAGUGUUAACUGAUUGCUCUAUUUCUCCUUGUCUUGCAGGUAAGAACAAGGGCAAAGGAAAAUACAGGGAAAAAGCAUGAUAUAAGAUACUCUUGCUUUUGACCCUGAUGAUAUGAGAUACUCUUGCUCUGGUGUGGUUGGUUUGCAUAAGUAUUAUUGGGGGGAAGAAAGCUGAGUAUUUCUAGAGGCUUUGUUGAGAGUGCCUUAUCAGAUAUGAGGAAGGGUUGAGCAUUUUUGUAGGUCUGCCUGUCCGUGGAGGAUGGAAGUCGACAUAUAUAGAAGUCUCCCUAAUAACAAGUAGUAAUGAUAUUCCUUUACCCUUCUUGGUCAUAGCAAUGUAGUGGAAGCUGCAAGCUUCACGUGUUUUAACUUUGUCAAAGCACUUUGAAAAAGUGGUCCGUGGUAUCUGGAAAGCUGAUGUUGCGUGUGAAAAUUGCAGACAAAUUUUAUCCAAGGAAAUCUGGCUCUCGAAGUUCGGAUAACAGUGCUUCUUCGGUUUUUGAAUAAGCAAUCCUGUUGGGAAUCUGGCUCUCAAGAUUCGGAGAGCGUUGCCUCUUCGAUUUUUGAACAAGCAAUCCUAUUGGGGAUCUUGCUCUCGAGAUUUAGAGAGCGAUGCCUCUUCGAUUUUUUAGAAAGCGAUCCUGGUAGGAGUCUGGCUCUCAAGAUUCGAAUAGCGGUGCCUCUUCAAUUUUUGAGAAAGUAAUCCUGGUGGGAGUCUGGCUCUCGAGAUUCAGAUGGCGGUGCCUCUUCGAUUUUUGAGAAAGCAAUCCUGGUGAGAGUCUGGCUCUCGAGAUUCGGGGAGCGGUGCCUCUUUGAUUUUUGAGAAAGUAAUCUUGUUGGGAGUGUUUUCUCGAUGUGAGUAAAGGUUGGGCAUUUUUGCCAGUCUGCCUUGCCACGGAGCACGAAGGUUGACACACAUAGGGACUUUCCAGUUAUCAAGCAGUGGUGCUGUUCCUUUACCCUUGUGGGUAAUGGUAGGGUAGCUGAACUUUCAAAAUUUAUGUGUCUAAACUUUGUCAGAGAUCUUUGGCAAAGUCAUAUGUGGUACACGAGGAGCUGAUGUUGCAUGUGAGGAUUAUAGACAUAUUUUACUCAGGAAAAUCUGCUUCUCGAAAUCCGAAGAGUGGUGCCUCUUUGAUUUUUGAACAAACGGCCUUGCUGCCCUUUCUUUUAUAGGGGCACCAAUUGUGUGCAAGAAGUACGUUCAGAGAGUUAUUGCUUGUAGGAAUUUUCCCCUUAUUUUCGUACUUCAGAGAUUUAUUGGACCUCAUUUCUCCUUCAUCAUUUCUGAAAAUGUCUGGCCCAUCCGACCGUCGUUGUGACUUGAACUUUGGUGAAGAGGCAGCCAUGCCUUCUCAAGACAACAUAUGGCCACCAUCCUUCUUAUCCCCUACCGGUCCUCUUACCGUUGGGGACUAUGUGAUGAAGAAUGAUAUGAUCGCUGCGGUGGUGGCUAGGAACCUUCUCACUCCCAAAGAUAACAGACUAUUUUCCAAACGAUCUGAUGAGUUGGCUGUUAAGGAUUCUCUGGCUUUUAGUGUUCAGUGUGCAGGUUUUGUGUCUAAUAUGGCCCAACGCCUAUUUGCUAGAACCCGUCAAGUUGAAUCAUUGGCGGCUGAAGUGAUAAGUCUCAAACAGAAGAUUAGAAAGCUCAAGCAUGAGAAUAAACAGUUGCACAGGCUCACACAUGACUAUGCUACAAACAUGAAGAGGAAGCUUGACCAGAUGCAGGAAUUUGAUGGUCAGAUUUUACUUGAUCAUAAGAGGUUUAUGGGUUUGUUCCAAAGACAUUUAUUGCCUUCUUUUUCUGAAGCUGUACCGCGUAAUGAAGCUCCAAAUGAUCAACCUCCGAUGCCUCCUCCUUCUGGGGUUCUGUCCAGCACUGAGGCACCGAAUGAUCACUCUCUGGUGCCUUCUCUUUCUGGGGCUCUGCCGACUGCUGAGACUUCUCCUGGGCAACCUUUGUGAAGGCUCCCUCUUGUUUGUUUAUUUUGAUUCAUGUAUAUGUACAUAUUUGUAACUUAUCGGAGAUAUCAAUAAAUAAGAUUUGCUUCAUUUCAACGUAUUGUGUUAAAUACACCAAAGCCUUCUUCACUAAGUUCUUUGAAGUUUUUUCUUUUGUUGAAGCUUGUAUGUUGAAGCUUUGUGAGUGAAGCAUGUAUGUUGAGGUAGUGCUCCCUUAAUUUCCCGAGUGAGGAAAACUUCUCGGUUGGAGACUUGAAAAAUCCAAGUCACUGAGUGGUCGUGAGACUUCCGAGUAUCAAGGUGCAGUAGUAUAUGGUAGGAGUCUCCCAAGUCUUCGAUCGAGAGAGUUAACGAAUGAGGCAUUUCCUUUCUAAGUAAUAGCCCAAAACUCCUCCUUCAUAUAUAUUUGUUAUGAAAGUUGUUAGGACCAAAGAAGAGGAGGCCUAGGCAAUUUUUUUUUUUUUUUGAAUUUUCGAAUUUUCGAAAAUAUAUAUAUAAGCUUUGUAGGUGAAGCUUUAAGGUUGAAGCUUUGUUGGGUACCAUGAAUUGAUUUUGCUUCACAUUAUCUUGAUCAAGAGUGUGUGAAGCUUUUGUAGGUGAAGCUUUUGUGUUGAAGCUUUGUAGGUGAAGCUUUUGUGGGUGAAGCUUUGUAGGUGAAGCUUUUGUGGGUGAAGCUUUUGUAGGUGAAGCUUUUGUGGGUGAAGCUUGUGUGGGUGAAGCUUUUGUAGGUGAGGCUUUUGUGGGUGAAGCUUUGGUGUUGAAGCUUUUGUAAGUGAAGCUUUUGUAGGUGAAACUUUUGUGGGUGAAGCUUGUGUGGGUGAGCUUUUGUAGGUGAAGCUUUGUUGGGUACCAUGAAUUGAUUUUGCUUCACACUAUCUUGAUCAAGAUAGUGUGAAGCUUUUGAGAAUUUGUAGUUGCCCUCCAUUUGUUGAAGCUUUUGUUGGUGAAGCUUUGUAGGUGAAGCUUUUGUUGGGUACCAUGAAUUGAUUUUGCUUCACACUAUCUUGAUCAAGAGUGUGUGAAGCUUUUGAGAAUUGUAGUUGCCCUCCAUUUGUUGAAGUUGUUGAAUUUCCCAAUUUCCCUUCUUAUUUUUUUUUUUUUUGGGAAAAUUUGAAAUUUGAAAAUGUGGGAGAGACAACAUAUACAAAUUUUGCUUCCACACUAUUGAGCAAGAGAUUGUGAUGCAAGCCACACCUUGUAGUAGUCGAAGGUUUGGAUGAACCAUAUAAAUUGAAUUUGCUUCAAACAGUCUUGAUCAAGAUUGUGUGAAGCUUUCUACGAGUUGUAGUUGCCCUUCAUUGAUGAAGCUUUUGUUGGCACCAUAAAUUGGUUUUGCUUCACACUGUCUUGAUCAAGAGUGUGUGAAGCUUUUGAGAAUUGUGGUUGCCCUCCAUUGAUGAAGCUCUUGUUGGCACCAUAAAUUGGUUUUGCUUCAUAUUGUCUUGAUCAAGAGUGUGUGAAGCUUUUGAGAAGCUUUUGAGAAUUGUGGUUGCCCUCCAUUGAUGAAGCUCUUGUUGGCACCAUAAAUUGGUUUUGCUUCACACUGUCUUGAUCAAGAGUCCUUUGAUGAAGCUCUUGUUACCAUAAAUUGGUUUUGCUUCACAUUGUCUUGAUCAAGAGUGUGUGAAGCUUUUGAGAAUUGUGGUUGAACUCCUUUGAUGAAGCUCUUGUUGGCACCAUAAAUUGGUUUUGUUUCACACUGUCUUGAUCAAGAGUGUGUGAAGCUUUUGAGAAUUGUGGUUGCCCUCUAUUGAUGAAGCUCUUGUUGUCAAAACGCUUUUAAUGAUCGAGUUGGAGGCAGAUUGUCUGCCCUCCCAUUACCAUGCCCUUCCCAUCCCCUCCUACAUUGUGUGGUCACGGUUAAGCCACAUCAACAUUUUAUAUUGAUUUUUUUAUAGAGAUAAUAAGCUAUGUUGACGUGGCUUAACCGUGACCGCACAAAUAGGAGGGGAUGGGAAGGGCAUGGUAAAAGAAGGGCAGACAAUUUGCCUCCGAUCGAGUUAGCAACAAAUACACUUUGAUUGAGUCGUGGUCCCGUGAUGUUGUGGAUGGUUGGAAACUUGGGAUGAGGGUGCCUUACUUUGUCGUUGUGGAGAUGAGUCAACCGUGGUUUCCUUCUUGGCUUAGUUAUUAUUGUGUAUGUUUGUGUCGCAUAGCAGUUUGUGUGGUCUUACUUUUAAGCAACGGCUCUGUGUGAUCCUCGGAUACGUCACUACUGAUCUUUGCAAUUUAAUUAAUUGUUUGCAAUGAAGAAUCAAUAGCGAUUUUAAGAGAGACUACCACGCUCCAUGAUUAGUGCCUAUCAUCUCUAGGCAAAUUCUGACCUUAACUCUUUGUCAUGAUCUCUCUCUACAUAGUUAUUUGAAAAAAAAUUAAUUCUAACUAUAACAUUUGUAUGGAGAAAAUAAAUCAAUCAUCACUAAAUAAAUAAGAAUGUGGACAACAUGUAUUUUCUCCAAUUGUUUAAAUGAUUUAAUAACAAGAACGAAACCGUUUGCAUUUUGUAUUAUAUGCCAAAAGUUGCAUUUUAAGAAAAACCCGGUACCUUAAUAACUCCAUAAGAUAACUCAUUAGAAACAAUGUUACCUACAUUUUAUUCUUCUUUUUUUUUAUAUGAAAUAAAUAGCAAUAUUGGGUUUAUUAUUGAAAAAAAUUAUAUAUACAUAAUAACAAAAUCAUUUAUAUUGAUAAAAUACAUGUAAGUAUUGUAAUCAUAUCUCAUAUUUACACUCAAGUAUAUCAAUGUUACAUAGGUGCAAUAUAAGAUAUUUACCCAAGUUUCAUCGAAAAUGUUACGCACAUGCUUUAAUUAGUUUUGGCAAAAUUCUACGAAAAUUUUACUGUAAACACGGAAAUUCCUGAAACGAAAGAGACAAGAACACGUGUACAAAAUAAUAUUUGUAUUAAUGAUUUAGGGGUUACAAUCUCUUCUACAAAUUUAUCCUCUGAUUCUAUCUUUGAAACGUGUAGAUGUAGUGUUGUUGAUCCAAGGGCCGUCGAGGCUUGAUCUUGGACGAACAGUUGAUGAAUGAUGAACACCUUCUUCAAGGGCCGUCGGGGCUUGAUCUUGAAUGGGUGGAAGUUCUUCAAGGGGCGUUGGAGCUUGAUCUUGAAGGAGGAUUUCACGAAGAACAGAUAGGGCUUUCUUGAUCCUUCGGGAUUUGCUUGAGAGCUUCAGAGUUUCGAGGCUUCAAGGCUUUGGUGUGGUGUGAUUUCUCUUCCAAUUUGGGAGUAGAGAAAGUGUAUCUAAAAUCCUCCCUUGAUUCUUUGAUGGAGGAGCCUAUUUAUAGGCUUUGGGAAUGAACCACCACCAUCCAUUUGUUUUGGUGGAUGUUGUAGGUGAAUUGGUGGAUUGUUGUAGGUGAAUUUGGGUGGAGGUUGUAGGUGAAUUUGGAUGGAUUGUUGUAGGUGAAUUUGGGUGUAUGUUGUAGGUGAAUUUGGGUAGGUGAAUUUGGGUGGAGGUUGUAGGUGAAUUUGGAUGGAUUGUUGUAGGUGAAUUUGGGUGUAUGUUGUAGGUGAAUUUGGGUAGGUGAAUUUGGGUGGAGGUUGUAGGUGAAUUUGGAUGGAUUGUUGUAGGUGAAUUUGGGUGUAUGUUGUAGGUGAAUUUGGGUGAAGGUUGUAGGUGAAUUUGGGUGAAGGUUGUAGGUGAAUUUGGAUGGAUUGUUGUAGGUGAAUUUGGGUGUAUGUUGUAGGUGAAUUUGGGUGAAGGUUGUAGUUUUAAUGCAAUGGUCAACAUUUAUUUCACUAAAAUUUCAAUGUUUACAAAUGUAAUUUUAAUGUGAUGGCUAACAUUUAUUUCAACGAAAUUUCAAUGUCUACAAAUGCCCCCACUUCAAGGCGCGUAGUAUACAUGUGCUUGCCACGUGUAGAAGAUGCGUUUUGAAGUCCCUUAAUGUAGAUGUCGAUCCAAGGGCCGUUGAGGCUUGAUCUUGAACUGGUCUGGGAGUUUCUUCAAGUGCCGUUAAGGCUUGUUCUUGAAUUUUGUUUGAAAUUUCUUCAAGGGCCGUUGAGGCUUGAUCUUGGAUGAAAUUGGACCACAAGGAGCCUCACGUAGUAGACGAUCCUUGGCUUUGAUAAUGGAUGAAUCGGCACGUAUUUUGUUGUGCUUGUUGACUUUCCACAGCUUUGAUCUUGAACUAGGCUGGAGGAGUUUUCUGGUUUCCUCCAACGGACUUUCCACAGACUUAAUCUUGAACUGGAUUUGACUCAAGGGUGGUGGACACUUGAUCUUGAGUCAGGGUCGUUGAGGCUUGAUUUCGAACUUAAACAUGACCACGAGCAGUUUCAGGACAUGCAUGCUUUGAAAGAUCAAGGAAGUUCGCAGCAUUUUCAUAUGAACCCUGAGCAGUUUGGUCAACAGUAUGAUCUUCAAGAUUGAUGGGCUCUUCUUCCAGUUGGUGACUUGAUCUUUAAGGAUUAUCGAGGCUUUGCUCUUCGGUGACGGUGCCAGCGAAGGGUUGUUAAAGCUUCUCGAGCCUUUUGGUUAGAGCAACGCUGUCCAGCUUGGAUCUUUACUUGAACUCAUCCGUCUGGAUUGUGGUGGUUAUGCAGGGAAGGGCUUCAUGCUUCAUGAUUUAUUCCAGCUCGUUGUAUUGCAUUCUUCUCUGCUUGUUUCUUUUGCGUAGCUGAAGCGGUGUGCAACCUUUUGCCUUUAAAUGGUUCUUCGGAGCACAAUCUCUCAGCGACUCACCCAUGCUUGGCAGCUUCAGUGCAAAGCGCCGAUGUUAACAGAUCCACACUCCUGAAGCAUUUGCUGAGGGGAUUCGAGACAUAUCAGCAGUUGAAGAUGAGCACUCGAGAGCAACGCUAGGUAAGUAACCAGGCAAAGGUUCCGGGCAAUCAGUUCCUGGUCGGACAUUUAAUUUCAGGUUCCGACUGAUUGCAUCCUUUCUCCUUGUUCAGCAGGCAAGAGCAAGGGCAAAGGAGAAGAUGGGGGAAGAGCAUGAUAUGAGAUACCUUUGCUUUCGACCCCAGUGAUAUGAGAUACUUUUGCUUUUGAAGAAGUAGCGGACGAUCAGCACAUGCAUUCGUCGUGCUUGUCUCCAUAUGCUUCGAUGCAUCAUCUUCAUCUGCAUCAUCUUCACCUGCAUCAUCAGGAGCUUGAGUGGAGGUUCCGACAUAUUGCUUUCUUUAUCCUUGUCUUCGCAGUGAAGAGGGAGGACAAAGAAAAGGAUAGGGAGAAAGCAUGCUAUGAGAUACUCUUGCUCUCAACCCCAAUGAUAUGAGAUACCUUUACUCUGGUGUGGCUUGGUUGAAGAGGCGUUUCUAGGGAGGAAGAAAACUGAGUUUUGGUUGCAGAUGCCCUCGGCGAGGAAGAAAGGUCAGGCUGGAUGUGUUUUCAGGGAGGAAGAAACUGAGUUUUGGUUGCAGAUGUCUUCGGCAAGGAAGAAAGGGGUCAGGCUGGAUGCGUGUCUUGCUAUGGGAUGGAGGUCGAAUUAUAUGGUGAGCUCUCAACAUCAAGUGGCAGGGCGAGCGUGGCCUUGUCACCCACGCUUGUCGGCAGAAGUGUGGUAGUUGGCAUAAUGGACCUCACGCGUUUUCAACUUUGUCAGUGAUAUCUGACAAAGUUGCACGUGAUAGCCGAAAGCUGAGAUUGUGUCUGAAAAGUGUCGACGGACUUUACGCAGGAAAAUCCGGGUUUUGAAAUUCGGAGAGUGGUGUCUCUUCGAUUUACGAACAAAUGGUUGUGCUGCCUCUCAUUUUUAAGAGGUGUCAAUUGUAUUCAACACGCAAAAUUUGAAGAUUGCCUGCCCGUGAAAAAUUAUCUCUGCUACUCUUUGCUUCAUCCAACCUUUUUCUUUUAGUAUUUUUUGAAAAUGGCUUCCCCUUUUAACAUUUGCUUAGAUUUGAGUCUUAGCAGUGACACAGGUGCAUCGCGUCAGGGUAAUGUAUGGCGCCCGUCUUUUUUUUCUUCUAAUGGCCCUCUUACAGUUGAGGACUCUGUGAUGAGGGAUGCAACCACGGCUACGGUUGUAGCUAGAAACCUCAUCACUCCUAAAGAUAAUAGGAUACUUUCACGACGGUCCGAUGAGUUAGCUGUUCAAGAGUCCCAGGCUCUCAGUGUCCAGUGUGCGAACUCUGUUUCCAACAUGGGCCAACGCUUACUUGCUCGAACUCGCCAGGUUGAAUCAUUGACAGCCGAGGUGGCGGCUCUUAGUCAAGAGAUUAGGCAGCUCAAGCGUGAGAAUGGAGAGUUGCAUGUGCUUGCAAAUAGUUAUUCGACGAGCAUGAAGAGGAAGCUUGAUCAGCUGACGAACUCCGAAGGUCGAAUUCAAAGUGACCAUCGGAAGUUUGUGGAUGUAUUCCGGAGGCACUUUUUGCCUUCGUCAUCUGGAAUUCGACCAAGUAUUGAGGCUCCGAAUAAGCUAUCUUCAGUGCCUCCCUCCUUUAGGGUUCCACCGAGUACCAAGGCUCCAAGUACUGAGGCUUCACACAAGUGACAUUCGUGAAGGCUUUUUUUUUUUUUUUUUUUUUUUUUUUUUUUUUUUUUCGUGUAAUUUCUCGGAGAUAUUAAUGGACAUGCCUUAUUUUAUUCAGUAUGUUGUGUUGAAACGCAAACAAAACGCAUAUCUGACUAAGAUGCAUUACUUCCCUAUGCACCCACUUCCUUUUAGAUGGUGACUAGUGCACCCAUUUCUUUUAGAUGGUGACUGGAAGCAUCAUUUUGUCAUCACCACCCAUUUCCUUUUCCAUUAUUGACUUGCGAAUAGUAAUACACACUCGUGAGUGGCUUGACGAUAGCACAGUUGGUUUUUUUUUUGUGGCCUUCCUCACUGCAUUGCGUUCUUCUCGCAUGCGGACCAUCUUUUCACUUGCACAAUCACCUUAUCACAAUCUUCAUUGGAUGCGGAUUGCUUUUUUACACAGUCACUGUAUCGCAUGCGGAUCACUGUUUGCACAGUCACUGCACUACAUGCAAACCGGUUUUAUUUGCAGCCUGUUGAGACCAAUAUAUAUAUACACACGCAUUCAUACACACAUGCAUACAUACAUAGGGCAUUGCGUAGUCUUUACAUAGACACUGCACCAGCUUACUGCCCUGAAUCUUAAAUGCACUCUCCUGUUUCUUUGCUGCGACGUGCUCUUCUCGUCUGCCGUGUGGUGAGCUCGGUGUUGGACAAAAAGUGGUGCAGCUUCUUCAACCCCAUCACCCUGCAGUCGGUCACGUCUAUGUUCAUCGUGUUCAUCCGAAGUCUUCACUGCGGCAGAGGAAAAGCUCACCAUCAUCAAAAUUAGGGCAGCAACAACAAACUUCAUUAUCCUGCAAGCUUCAGGGAGAGUUGCAUGAGAGUAUGAGGACGGAAGGAUGAAGGACUGCAGCAUGGUUGCUACAACCGCUCGGGCUUCCGUUUAUCGUCCUCGACGGCGCUGCAAAUGUUUCCACCAAUGGAGAAGAGGAAGGAGGGCGCUGCCUUCACUCUAUGAGGUAUGUUUUAUUGCUGAGGAAGGUUUGCCGCAUAUAUAAAUAUAUAUAUAUAUAUUUUUUAUUUUUAUUUUUUAUAUAGUGCUCUGUCAGGCUGAGGUUGCUAAACCGGCGAAGAACCUAGGAAGGCAUCAAAAGUCUGCUCUGCUUGACUCGGUCAGAGAAAGUGAAUGCGAGUGCAGGUUCGAAUGACAAGGCCGUGUUGCUUUCCCCGUCUUCAACCGCUGCAGCUUCAUUCUUGUUGCUACAGGUUCGUCUUUGCUGUGGCUUGGAGAGAGAGACGUCGCUGCAAAGGAGAGAGAGAGAAACACCACAUCUGGAUUCAGAUUUUGUGCAUCUGCAGGUCUUCCUUUCGUUUGUGGGUGACUGUGCAACUUUUAUGAGAGGAAGAAGAAGAGUCAACGGAAAAGAAGGUGUUGCGGACGAGGUCGCGUGGCUGACUUGGAGGUCCACUUGCUUCGGGUGUGCGCACCAUGUGUUGCAGGUGGGGUUUUGCUGUGUAAUGCCUUUUGGUCACAGUUUUCCCUUGGUGGUGACGUUGGCGUAGUGCUCACCUUUGUAAUAUGGCUUUGUAACCAAAUCAUUUCUUUAAAGAAAUAAAAUAUUCAUAUCUUGAAUUGCUAUUUAUUCUUCAAAGUGUUUGUGUUUUUGUUGGUGAUGUGACUGUACUUGAAGUUUUGAAGUUUCAAGUUGCCUACGUACCCCCGGUUGAUGAGGGAUCAAGUCAUAACGUAGUUCGAAUGAACGAUGAUUUUUUUUUUUUAUAGUGAUUUUGAUGAUGAUUUUGCCGUACACAGUUUAUGCUCUUGCGGGCCAGGAGCCUUGUGCCGUGUGCAGUUUAGGCUCAUGCAGGCAAGGAGUCUGGUCGUCGCUUUUUAGGGGUAGUAACGCUUCAAGAAUCUGCCAUUGAUGGGACCGAUCUUCAAGCCGUCCUCUGCCAUGAUUAAGUAGGCGCCGCUUAUGUAGACCUCUUGUAUUACAUACGGUCCAUCCCACUUUGAUGUGAACUUGCUUUUUGUCUUGUGAGUUGUGAUGAUAGGCCUUCGUAAUGCAAGGACGAGAUCUUCAGUUUGGAAAGACCUUGGGCGGACCUUCUUGUUGAAUGCCUUGGAUAGCCGUGCUUGGUAGCAUUCCAGGUGUUGUUGAGCUUCGAGCCUUCUUUCGUCAAGUGAUUCCAACUCUUGAAGGCGCAACUUUGCAUUCUCUUCAUCAGUCAAACCUUCUUGUAUAGCCAUCCUAAGUGAGGGGAUUUGACUUUCUAGCGGUAAAACAGCUUCCACGCCAUAUACGAGAGAAUAAGGGGUAGCUUGGGUAGGAGUCCUAUGCGUCGUCCUAUAUGCCCAAAGUGCUUCGCUUAUUCUUUCAUGCCAGUCCCUCUUUGUUCGGCCGAUCACCUUCUUUAAGAGGUUGCACAAUGUUUUGUUGAAUGCUUCCGCUAGACCGUUGGCCGGAGCAUGAUACAUGGAAGACUUAUGCUGCUUGAACUUGUAUUUCUCACAGAGCUCGUCUACAAGUCGGUUGGAGAACUGUUUUCCAUUGUCCGUGAUAAUGUAACGAGGCACACCAUAUCUGUGGAUGAUAUGUUCUUUGAUGAAACGGACAACAGUUUCCUUUUUUUACUUCCCUUAGGGGUAUGGCUUCAGCCCACUUGGAAAAGUAAUCUGUUGCAGCUAGGAUGUAGGCUUCUCCUGCAGAUGACUUUGGAGUAAUUGGUCCCACGACGUCCAGUCCCCAUGCAUCGAAUGGCCACGAAGCAGUUGUAGGGUGUAAUGGUUCAGGUGGUUGAUGUAUGAAGUUGGCGUGGAAUUGGCAAGCUUGGCACCUUUUGGCAUGUUCCAGGCAAUCCUUCACCAUACUUGGCCAGUAGUAACCCAUUCUUUUGAGCUGGAAAUGUAGCUUUGGUCCAGAUUGAUGCGCCCCGCACACGCCUGAGUGCGCUUCUUCCAUGGCUUGAUUGGCUUCUUCCUCACCUAGGCAUCUCAGAAGUACUCCUUCGAAAGAGCGCCGGUAGAGUGUUUCUUUGUAGUAGAGGAAGCGAGGUGCUCGUCGACGUAUUUCAGAGCGGUGUCUAGGAUCAUCAUUUGGAAGUUUUCCAUACUCUAAGUAGUCAAUCAAUGGUUGUCUCCAUUCUUCAACAUCGACUGGAAGUACCGAGAGAUGACAUUUGUAUCAUCUAGUAGCAUUUCGGUGGCGAGGGGGAUGACCCAUCUUUGGCAAACUGGCACGUCUGCCGCUUCGUCUUCUCCUAGUGUCAUACUCGAGGCUAGGUUAGCGAGAGCGUCUGCCAUUUGAUUUUCUUUUCUCGGCACAUGUUUCUAGUGUUACGGCCUCGAACUUUUGUAGCAGCUGAGUUGCCAGUCGGAAGUACGGGACGAGAUCGUCUUUUCUCACCUCAUAUUCAGUCAAGAGUUGACUAAUUAUGAGCUUGGAGUCGCCAUAUACCUCGAGGGUUGUGAUUUCCAUGUUGAUCGCCAUUUGGAGCCCGAUGAUUAGUGCUUGGUACUCAGCGACGUUGUUGGAGCACAAUUCGCUUAGUUGGAAUGAAUAAGGUAGUAUUUGCCUUUGUGGCGACAUGAAUACUACUCCUGCCCCCGCUCCGUCUGCUCGUGCAGAUCCGUCGAAGAACAUCGUCCAUCUCGGGAAUAUGUCAAUGUAGAAUACCUCCUCGUCAGGCAAGUCGUCUGAGAUUUUCCAAUCGGCUGGGAUUGGAUGAUCGGCAAGGAAGUCUGCUAAUGCUUGUCCCUUGACGGCUUUAGCUGGGACGUAAAUGAUCUCGUAUUGAUUGAGAAUCAACGCCCAUUUAGCUAGUCGCCCUGUCAAAACUGGCUUGGACAUGACGUAUUUAACCGGGUCGGCUUUAGCAACCAAGUGGAUGGUGUAAGCAUGCAUGUAAUGUCUAAGCUUCUGGAUGGCAAACACCAAGGCAAGGCACAUUUUUUCUAUUGGGGAGUAGUUCAACUCAGCGCCGGUGAGUGUUCGACUCAAGUAGUAAAGCGCUCCUUCUUUCUGGAAUUCAUUUUCCUGUGCCAAGAGUGCUCCCACUGAACUUUCCUGAGCGGCGAUGUACAAUAUGAGUGGUUUCCCGGGCACAGGCGCCCCCAGGACAGGUGGACUUGAUAAAUAUUUUUUUAUGCUUUCAAAAGCGUUGUGGCACGCUUCGUCCCAUACGAACGGGACAUCCUUUUUCAUGAGUCGACUAAACGGUUGACAACGCCCUGCAAGGUUGGAGAUGAAGCGUCUGAUGAAGGCUAGUCGUCCUUGUAGGCUUUUCAGCUCGUGCAGGUUUCUUGGUUCGGGCAUGUUUCGAAUGGCCUUGAUCUUUGAUUGGUCCACUUCAAUGCCACGGUGCUUGACAACGAAGCCGAGAAACUUUCCUGAGGUGACGCCAAAUGCACAUUUUAACGGGUUCAUCUUGAGGUUGUAUUUUCGCAGCCUUUCGAACACUACUCGCAAAUCCUUCAAGUGAUCUGAUCUUUUCUUUGUUUUGACCACCACAUCGUCUACAUAACAUUCUACGUUUUUGUGUAGCAUGUCAUUGAAGAUUUUCUGCAUUGCUCGCUGAUAUGUGGCUCCAGCGUUCUUUAGACCAAAGGGCAUCACCUUGUAGCAGUAGAUACCUUUUGGAGUGCGGAAUGCUGUUAGUUCCUCAUCUUCGAGAGCCAUACGAAUUUGAUUGUAUCCAGAAGAGCCGUCCAUAAAUGACAGUGCCUCAUGGCCAGUGGUCGCGUCCACCAUGAUUUCGAUGAUCGGCAAGGGAAAGUCAUCUUUCGGGCAAGCGUCAUUGAGGUCCCGAAAGUCUACACAAACUCGUAUUUGUCCAGAUUUCUUAAGGACGAUGACGAUGUUGGAGAUCCACUUAGGGUAUUGCACCUCUCGAAUGAAGCCUGCUUCGAUUAGCUUGUCAAUCUCUACCUCAAUUUGUGGAAUGAGCUCGGAUCGAUAGCGCCUUUGAGUUUGCUUUAUUGGUCUCGUUCCGGGCUUAACUGCAAGAUGAUGUACAGCGAUGACAGGGUCAAGGCCGGGCAUUUCCUUGUAAGUCCAAGCAAAGACGUCUUUGUACUCUGAUAACAGUUGGUAAUACUCGUCUACCUCGUCCGCACUUAGCAACGCACUUACGAAGAUAGGUCUCUGCUCCUCUUUUGUGCCUAAGUUGAGUUCCUUGAGAUCAUCGACUGUGGAUUGCCCCCCAUCCUCCAGUUGUGGUGGCGCAGCAGUGACACCUUCUUCGGGGAUCUCAUCUUCUUCGCUUUCUUGGAUCGUGAUGUGGAAGACAUCUUGGAAUUCCUCUUCGGUGUCGUCCUCUUGGGCUGGUCGGCAUGAAGAUUGUCCAGUGUGGAUGAUGGUGCGCCUUCUUACUUUUAGUGGUCCAUUUGUGUCCACCUCCAAGAUUGCUUGGCGCUUCAUCCUUGAAGGAAUUGAGCUUCGAAUAUCACAUUUUUCUGCUAUUAUGACGAGCUUUUCUUCCUUUGACGUGGUCUUCCUAUUUCUAGAAAACUUCUUGUUGUCUUCAAGUCUUUCCAAAGCUGACUGACGAGGAAGAGAGCUAGUCGUGUUGCUUUGCUUCUUAGGUUUUGACAACCUUUCAAAAAACAGAGCUUUGGGAUGCUAGCAUGUUAAGUCUCUUGAAGACGGAGGUUCGGUUUUGACCACCAAUGCGGUUAAAUGCUGACAUUCUGGGUUUUGAACGAUUCAUCCUAUCGAAGACUGACGUCCAAGGGGUGGAUUUAGGCUCAUCAUGAUCUUGUUCAAUACUCACGCUGAUGUGUUGAGUGCUAGCGUUUUUCGCUUUGCUUGAAAUCUUCACGGGUGCGUUUGGUGUGAAAGCCUAGUCCAGCUUUGUUGUUAUCAAACUCCGUAACCGUGCUUCUUCAACUUCCUUUGAGUCUCGGUGAGGUCACGUUCUUUAUUGUUAACGGUGUUUGAAACCUUCUUUCCAUGAUUCGAAGAAGAAGCAAAGUCGUAGCCAGCUUUCGACAUGAGUUUAUAGGCGUUUGGAUCAAAACCUUCUUCGGUCCUCUGGGUUGGGAGAAAGCUUGGUUCCACCCCCUUUGGUAGAGCUUUUAUGAAGCCUUGUGGUAGUCUUGCGACCUUAGUGCCGCCUAGCUGUGUCAGAGGUAAAACUGCAUUCGUCUUGAGCAUCUUUACAUUAUCCAUAUACCUCUGUGCAUCGGCUUUGUUUGCUCCAGUUUCGAACGGGGAUUGACCAUUCUUUCUUCUCGACAUCGGGAUGUAUCGGAAGACGGGUGUGUUUGGUCCAUUUGAGGGCGUCUUACUCUCCUUUGUUGUUGCACGUUUAGCCAGCUCAUUAUCGUUCUUGCUUGAAGACGGCGUAACUUCUUCUUCUUGCUUCUUGGGCAUGGCUUGUCGUUCCUGCUUUUUAGGUGUUGCUUUGCCCGUGGAUUUGAUCUCUUUUGGAAGAGCUUCGGGCACCAUGUCUUCAUCCAUGUAGAACUUGGCGUCUGCGAAAUGUGAUUCGGCUUCAGUGAAUGGUUUGGUGUCGCCAUAGAUCACCUUCACUCCUUCUCGGUAGAAUUUUAAGCAUUGGUGAAGGGUGGACGGUACUACUCCAUUCGCAUGGAUCCAAGGCCUUCCUAAGAGUAAGCCGUAGGAAGUUCUUGCAUCAAUCACGUGGAAUAUCGUGCUCGACUUGAGUUCGCCAAUAGUCAUCUCCACUCGGAUCAUGCCCAUCGCUCUUUGUCCUCCUUGAUUAAAACCUUGGAUUAGUAGACGACUUAGGGACAGUUCAUCCGCCUUGAUGCCGAUUGUAAUCAUUGUCGACUUUGGCAUGAUGUUUAUGGCUGAUCCACCAUCCACAAGCAUGCGGUUGACUUUGUGCCCCUUUACAUACCCAGAGACGAAGAGAGGACGGUUGUGAGGCUUGGAUCCUAGCAGCAAGUCUUCGUCGGUGAAAUGGAUUGCGUCCUCUAUGGCACAAACAUGUGGCACAUUCAUGUGGCCGAAGCUUCAAGUCUUCGUUCUUGCUUUCUUGCACUUCAUGUUCAUUGGGACUUUCCAAGGCCGCUGCUAAUGCUAUUCGCAUCUUCUUUGGUAAUCGUAGCGCUUCCUCAAUGCUAAAGUGUGUUGGCAGACCUUCUUCGAGCGUGAGAGUUUUUUCUCCCUCAGUGGUGGUAUCUUUGCUUUUUGAAGGUUCUUCCGUUUCUACUUCGACCAUAUGGCAUGCAGCGAUGGUGCACUGUUGGAAGAAGUCAUUCGGGAAGUACUCGCGCAAGGAGACAGGAAUGCGUGGCUCUUGCUCCACGGGUUCCCCAGCAUACGUUGGCUUAUCGACUUUUACGUUUUCUUUAGGCUUCCUACUGUUGCGGCGACGGUGUUUUCUCACUUGUUCCACCUUUGGUCUUGUGGCUUGUGGUUUUGGUUUCCUUGUUUUUUUGUAGGUCACCAAUGUCCAUCCUUCAUCAUCAUCGGUAUACGCAUCUUGUUCGUUUGCCCCCGGCGAUGGUUGUGUAGAAGGCGCCGUGUAGCUUGCACAUUGAUAGGAAUGGUUGGGUGUCGUUUGGAGAGGCACGGGAUCGAAGGAUCCGAACGCCACUGUAGUAGUAUGUGUUGCGGCUGUGUCCUCAAGGUCUAGCUCGAUUCUCCCUUGUUGCGCUAGCUUCAUAAUGAGUUCUUUGAGGACGAAGCAUUUGCCCACAUGAUGGCUUACGAUACGAUGGUACUUGCAGUACCUAGGAUCGUUCGUUCGAUUCAUUUCUUCAGGGCGCUUGCACUCUGGUAACUCAAUUACCUUCUUUUCCAGCAAGUCAUCUAACAUUGCAUCCACGUCUGAGUCAGGAAAAGGGUACGUCUUUUGCUCCAACUCUCUCAAGGUGUUUUUAUACUUGUCUUGGGUGCGAGGAGGCUCACUUCUUUUUGUCUCCUUUGCCUUGGUCUUGGAGGAAAUCUUGAUAGGUGCAGAGGUGGUCUUGAUAGGCGCGGAUGGGGUUUUGAUGGGGGUAGUGUUGACAGUAAAAGUUUCCUUUGCAGGCUUUUUUCCGGUCUUGUCCACACUCGGGGCGAACACCUUAUCCUUCUUGAAGUGGGUGAUCGGCUCAUUCUUUCCGUGAUUGGCGAUACUCAGCUCCAUGUCGUGGGAGCGCGUUGCCAGCUCCUCAAACGUUCUUGGUUUUAUGCCUUGGAGAAUGUAAUGUAACCCCCAGUGCAUGCCUUGAACACACAUCUCAAUGGCAGAGGUUUCAGAGAGCCGAUCUUUGCAAUCCAGACUUAAUGAACGCCAUCUAUUGAUGUAGUCGACGACGGGUUCCUCCUUCCACUGUUUCGUACUGGUCAGCUCCAGCAUGCUUACGGUGCGGCGCGUGCUGUAGAAACGGUUGAGGAAUUCCUUUUCUAGCUGAUCCCAACUGCUGAUAGACUCGGGCUCGAGGUCGGUGUACCAGUCAAAGGCGUUGCUUUUCAGCGAGCGCACGAACUGCUUGACGAGGUAGUCUCCCUCUGUUCCAGCAUUGCUGCAGGUUUCAAUGAAGUGGGCGAUAUGUUGCUUCGGGUUCCCCUUUCCAUCGAACUGCAUAAACUUUGGUGGUUGAUAGCCCUUUGGCAUCUUCAAAGCGUCAAUCUUCUUGGAGUAGGGCUUUGAGUAUAGUACGGAAUCAUGUGAGCUUCCUUCAUACUGCGCCUUGAUGGUGUUGGCGAUCAUCUCCUGCAGCUGCUGGAUAGAGAGAGACCCCAUAAGUGUCGCCGCUUGGUCUAGCUUCAGCGUCUCUUCGACGUUCUCCACUGGAGGUUCCUCAUCCUCGUCGUUUUCCUUCUUUACCGGAUUAUCCCCUUGCCUGGCUUUCUCAUCGGGCUUUGCAUCUAGUUGGUUAACAAGUGCUGCGAUUUGCAGGUCUUUUUCCUCCACAGUCCUUGUGAGCUUUGCGAUUGCUUCGUUCAUCUGAGCCAGCUGCUCCUCAAUUGAAGUUGUUCCGGUAACCAUGACUUGCAUAGCUAUGCCGCUGCUCGAGUCGGCAUCGGAAAGUAAGGAUUCAGAGUACUUCCUCUGGCUUUCCUCUCUUGGCGCCCUGAGCGAGGCCAGGGUGAUCACCGGUUCGAACCUCGGGUGCUCUUGUGCCUUCGGCGGAGUUGAUGAAGGGGCGAAAGAGGCGGCGGAAAGAGCUUUUGCCUUACUUCGAGUUAUGAUGCCUGAAGUGAUGCCCCCUGUCGUGAUGACGCUCUUGUUUCUUGCAUUGGCAGCGAGAACAACUUGGGCCUUCCUUGACGCCAUUUGUGCUUGUUGCGGAUUCAAAGAUAGAGAUGAGAGGUAGAGACUGUCCCACCGAGCGUGCCAAAUUUGUAAACACGGAAAUUCCUGAAACGAAAGAGACAAGAACACGUGUACAAAAUAAUAUUUGUAUUAAUGAUUUAGGGGUUACAAUCUCUUCUACAAAUUUAUCCUCUGAUUCUAUCUUUGAAACGUGUAGAUGUAGUGUUGUUGAUCCAAGGGCCGUCGAGGCUUGAUCUUGGACGAACAGUUGAUGAAUGAUGAACACCUUCUUCAAGGGCCGUCGGGGCUUGAUCUUGAAUGGGUGGAAGUUCUUCAAGGGGCGUUGGAGCUUGAUCUUGAAGGAGGAUUUCACGAAGAACAGAUAGGGCUUUCUUGAUCCUUCGGGAUUUGCUUGAGAGCUUCAGAGUUUCGAGGCUUCAAGGCUUUGGUGUGGUGUGAUUUCUCUUCCAAUUUGGGAGUAGAGAAAGUGUAUCUAAAAUCCUCCCUUGAUUCUUUGAUGGAGGAGCCUAUUUAUAGGCUUUGGGAAUGAACCACCACCAUCCAUUUGUUUUGGUGGAUGUUGUAGGUGAAUUGGUGGAUUGUUGUAGGUGAAUUUGGGUGGAGGUUGUAGGUGAAUUUGGAUGGAUUGUUGUAGGUGAAUUUGGGUGUAUGUUGUAGGUGAAUUUGGGUAGGUGAAUUUGGGUGGAGGUUGUAGGUGAAUUUGGAUGGAUUGUUGUAGGUGAAUUUGGGUGUAUGUUGUAGGUGAAUUUGGGUAGGUGAAUUUGGGUGGAGGUUGUAGGUGAAUUUGGAUGGAUUGUUGUAGGUGAAUUUGGGUGUAUGUUGUAGGUGAAUUUGGGUGAAGGUUGUAGGUGAAUUUGGGUGAAGGUUGUAGGUGAAUUUGGAUGGAUUGUUGUAGGUGAAUUUGGGUGUAUGUUGUAGGUGAAUUUGGGUGAAGGUUGUAGUUUUAAUGCAAUGGUCAACAUUUAUUUCACUAAAAUUUCAAUGUUUACAAAUGUAAUUUUAAUGUGAUGGCUAACAUUUAUUUCAACGAAAUUUCAAUGUCUACAUUUACAAAACCACUUUUUUCGCAGAAUUUUUUCCACACCACAAGCUUGUUAAAAUUCUUGCUAAACAAUGUAAAGAAGUUUGGAAACGAUACUAAUUAAGGUUUCCUUACUGGCUUUACAAAUUGCAUUUUUCACCAAAAUUGUUGCUCACGUUUAUUAAUCGAUUUUUCUAAAUAAAAAAACAACAAUUCAUUUUAGAACUAAGCCGAUCUGUUUACACAUGUGUAUGUGUAAACUCCAUAUAGUCAACACACAGACAAUGUUUCAUACGUUAUCUUGAACUAGCAUCUUGUCACAUGCAUACGCAUGCGACAAUUUGCCUUUGUAUGUUAAAUUAAAGUUUUAUUAUGAUUUUUUACAUAAUAAAUUAAGAAAUUCAAUUUUUGUUAUUUAUAUAUUUUUAUUAAUAAUAUUUUUGAAAAUAAAUUAGAAGUUAAACAUAAACCGUGGGGUUUUGCUAUUUUUUUCUUUCUAAAGUUUAAAAUUUUAAAUUCGUUCAAAAUUAAUAUUUGUUGAAUUAUUUUAACUCCUUUUAAUUCAAUAGUAAUUUAAAAAAAUUUAGAGGCAAUUUAUGGUAUUUUGAAAAGGAAAACUAAUGAAAAUGACUUGAAAACUUUGAAUUUUAAUGAUAAUGACAAAAUAAAGAGUAAAAUGAAUAGUAUCAAGAUUGACUUUUUUGUGUAAAAAUGUGGUUUUUCGUUAAAGUAAACAGUACCGAGAGCUUUUCGUUAGUUCCCAUUUUGAAAUUAACCUGCAUGCAUGCAGUUUGACUACUUUGGCCUCCCAGCCAUUCGGUUCUUGUCCAUUUUUUCCACCCUGUUAUGAAAGUGAAAUAUACCUAUACUGUACUACGAGAACAUGAGACAUGCAGUGUUACUUUCAACAGGUGGCACGCCUUGCUACCUCACACUUAUCCUCCUUGAUCAAUCCAUAUCUACACAUUCAAUCAACUCUUGUGCAUUACGUACGUCGCUAUGCUUUUUCAAAAGUCUCUCUCAAUUUCAUAAAAAUUGCAGAGCUGGGUGUAGCUACAUAAGCUGCAAAAGCACAAAUAGAAAUAUUAUUGCUUAUAUAAAAGAAUUCAUACAACUUUGUUUUUUUUUUUUUUUUUUGCGACCAUUCGGUUAAAUUUUGUUUUGCAUGUAUUAGGGUAAAGGGAGUGUGAUAUUCUCUCCUUCUAAUCUCUCUCCCCUUCCUUCCCAUCCUAUUUGAAUAGUUAUGAUUAAAUCACAUCAACAUCUUAUAUUGAUUUCCUUAUAGAGAGAGAAAGACAAAGAUGAAAGGAAAAUGGGGAGGCACUAGAAGAAAAAAGCUCAUCUAUCACGGUGAAUACCCGUGAUAAAUUGCAAUCUACCACGGACACUGUGCCCGUUAGUAUUCUGGAUGUGAUAAAAAGUCUCAGUUUCUACCACAGGCUAUGUCCGUUGUCAAAUGCAAUAUAACCACGGAUUGUACCCGUGGUAGAUUGAGAUCUAACACCACAUGCUAUGACCGUUGUCGAUUACUAAUUGACCACAUCUAAUGCCCGUUAUAAAUUAUUUUCCAAAAUUAAAAAAAAUAUAUUUAACAAAUAUAUAUAUAUAUAUUGAUUUAUUUAUUUAUAUAUUUUAGUACAGAAUAAUCAACAAAAUUGCAUAUUUACUACAAUAUAAUAAUUACAUAAAAAAAUACUUGAUAAUAUUAUAACAUAAUUUAAAAAUACUUGAGUUUCCAAAUGAAUACAUAAACAACAAAAGUCAUAAAGUACUAUCCAUGUAGUGCCUAAUGAAUACAUAAACAACGGAAGUCAUAAAAUACUAUCCAUGUAGUGCCAAAGUACCAUUUUCUAGUCUAAGUACGAACUAAAAUUACUCUCCAACUCAGACGUACUUUGAUGGCCAGGCAAUUGUACUAGAUAUAGCAUCCUCCACGACACGAAAUUCACUUGUAGGGCGGUACAAAGAUAUAUUCUCCACUCUUACCCAAACUUUCCAUCAAUCAGGAUCAAGCACCAUGUGAUGAACUUUCACCUCAGGAUUUGUUGAUUCUAUUUCUCCAGUUGCAACAACUUGUCUAUUUCCGAGCCAAUUUAGUAACUUGCAUGAAGACCCUCGUAAAAUACCAACAGGUUUAACUAGCAUAAAGAAACCAAAUAAGAACAUCAAUUUCAAAUGAUUAAGUUAUCAAACUAUUUAACAAUUAUUAUCAAGCGUGUGUUACUACCUGAGAAGUGGCUUUAGACCUUUCUUUUCUCUUAAUGCUGUCUCUUUCUAUGUUUGGACUACUUCUCUGUGACAAUCGAACAUGGAAGACACAAAAUUCGAACAACUUAUAUCAAAAUAUCAUAAGUUUCAUAAGCUAACUAUUUAGUACUUGUUCUCGUAUACUUGGGAACUAGCUUUGGAAGCUUGUCUAGAAGCAUCGUCAGCUUCUCGUGCACUUCUUCUAUCACAUUGUAUCUAAUAACAAAACAAAAACAGUUGAAUUAUCAACAUCUGCUAUGUCUUAAUAUAUUAAUUUGUACACAGGAAUGGCCUCACAAAACAAAAAUAAUUUAAUUAUCUAAUAACAAAACAGAAAUUUGCUCUGCCGCCGAUGGAGCCACAAAGAAGGAAAUUGGCCGAGCAAAAGAAUACAUAUUGAAACAACUGGGAUUAGAGAAUGGUUAGUGGAGAUGCAAACAAUACAUGCUGGGGACUUUAUGGUGAAAUUUUUUUUGUGAAAAAGGUAGAGAAAUUCAUACAAAAAGACACAUAGAAACCAUCUUCUUAGCAAUCAAUAUUAUAUAAAAAAAAAAAGUGAACAAGCAUUUUCUUUACAAUGUUUACACUAGUAUAGUCGAAUUUGCAGUUUCAAUUGAUCGAAGUAUUACUACUGCAUAUCUUUUUUCCUUAUAUAUAACUGGUUCGUGCUCUGUGUGUGUGUGUAUAUAUAUAUAUAUAUGCACGUGUAUAAAUAGAGUAAAGCAGAACGUAAACUUCAUGGGCAAGUCAUCAAAAUCUGAACAAAUAGUUUUCAAUUCAACAACCACAAAUUCAAAAAGCAUUCCAGCCGAUGGCUACAUACCCCAAUCGCAAUCAUGCAUAUACAAAUCACAAAUUCAAAACCCUAGCUCCCAAAUUAACCAGCUCAAAAUCUGAACGAAAAUUGAAUUAAUUUAAAUUAAAACCUGCUAAGAAUAGGAGUGCUGACCCUCGCAAACAGGGCUUUCAUCGAAGUUCUUAGAGGGGUACUUGGCGGAGACCAUGCCGACCUCGAACACCAAGUUGUCGCCGCUCGACCGGAUUCCCGUGAUCGACCACCACUGGAAGAAGGCCCGGACGCUGAUGCCGUUGAUCUUGGCGAUUUAUGACGAUUCGAAGAUGAGGGGGAAGGGUGGAUGGAUGACGAGUCGAUGAGGAGAAGAGAUGAGGGUUUGGUGGGUUGGUGCAGAGGAGUGGAGGGAUAUGGGAAGGUGGGGGAGAUAGAGGACGAUAAAAAAGGAUUGACGGUUUCUUUUUAGGGUUUUCGUCCAGUUUCACGUGAGGGGAAAAUAAUUGGGAUUUUAGAUUUUAAUAUCUUUCAAAAUAUUAAAAAAAAACAAAAAAACAUCCACCACGGGCCAAGGGCGUGGUGAAUUGUCAAAAGGUGGUGUGUGGUCGUUUGAAGUAACCACUACGAGCAUAUCGCGUGGUGGUUUUGAUAUUCCAUUAUGGGAAUAAAAACCGUUGUAAAUUAUUCACUUUUAACAACGGGCCAGAACUUGACCGUGGUGGAUUAAUGUUAUCUACCAUGAGCUACACUCGACCGUGGUAAUGAAAUAGUUUCUACCACGAACUGUUGAUGCCCGUGAUGGAAUUGAUGUGGUAAAUAUGAUGUUAUGUACUUGUGAGGAUUAGGGCGGGAAAAGAAUCGUAGUCCAAGGUAAAGAACUCAUUCACAUGCAAGAUUCGACUCCAUUAUUAAUCAGCCGUUGGAUCUUGAACUCUCUAUAAGUAUUAAACAAAAUGAGUCCAUCUAUCUCACCCAAAAAUCAAUAAAAAAUGAUUCCUUCAGAAAUAGCCAUCCUAAUCCUUGUAUUCCUUACCUUCCUGUGGUCUAUCCUCUGCAUCCUAAUCAAUGCCUUCUCAAGGCAAAGCCGAAAACUACCUCCUGGCCCUAGGGAACUACCAAUCAUUGGCAAUCAUUGGCAAUCUUCAAGUUUUAUUGUUUUUUACUCUCUUAAUCAUCAAGUUUUAUUGCUAUUCACUUUCAAGGCAAAGCCAAAAACUACCUCCUAGCCCUAGGGCACUAACAAUUUUUUACUCUCCUCACCAUAUAAUAAUUCAACAACGCCAAGUGAUUCUCUUGUGUCUUUUCUAAAAUCAACAAACACUAGUGAAUCAAAUUUUAGAAUAACCUAGUUUAACAAUAAAUUAUUGAAAAAGAAAAUUUAAAUUCAAAGUUAUGGUUACCUCAAAUUACAAUCUUCAGGACCAAGUGAUAGUUGCUUAAACAUUCAAUAGAAAUAGAAAGACUGGGAAGUUAAAAGAAAAAUGAUUACAAAAUUAUGAUUAUUUUGGUUUUUGUUAUUUUUUUAGGUUAUUUUCAAAAGCAAAAGAAAAAAAUGCAUUUGGAUAUAUUAAGGCCAUUAAUUUCAGUAGCUUCUUGUCACACACGUGGGUGUGUGACAAUUGACCUUUGUAUGUUUUUUAUUUAAGAAACUCAAGUUUUUUCUAUUUAUACAAUUUUUAUUUAAAAUAUUUUUGAAAAUAAAUAAGAAUUUAAACAUAAACCACCCACUAACAUGAGGUUUUGUUAUUUUUUUUCUAAAGUUGAAAAUUUUAAAUUCAUUCAAAAUUAAUAUUUAUUGAAUUAUUUUAGCUCCUUUUGAUUUUUGAUUUUAAAAUUUUUUAGGAGCAAUUUAUCUUUAAUUUUAAUCUUUAAUUUCAUAGAUUUGAAUUUUAACUCCUUUUGAUUCUUGUAAUUUUAAAAUUUUUUAAGAGCAAUUUAUCUUUAAUUUUAAUCAUUAAUUUCAUAGAUUUGAAAAAAGCAAAAACUAAUGCCUACAAGGUGUUUCGAACUGCCCACCCCAAUGAAAACGGAGUGGAACCGUUUCCACUGCACCAACGAAAUAAUUGUAAUGUUUCUUAUGUUUCCACUGCACCAACGAAAUAAUUGGGGGCCCUAGACGACCGCCUACCUCGGCUACCCUCAAGGCCGGCCCUGACUAGAACAAGACAUGUUACUUUCAAAAGAUGGCACACGUAUCCUCAUGUUGUCCAUAUCCAUCCAUAUUCAAUCAACUCUUGUGCAUUCUUCUUCAAAAUUCUCUCUCAAUUUCAUGAAAAUUACAGAAGUAGGAGGGUAAAGGGAGUAGAAUUUUAUCCCCUCUUUAUCUCUCUUUCUUUCCCUUCUUUCUAAUUUGAACAGUUUACAAUUAAACCAUGUCAACAUCUUUUAUUGACUUCUUUAUAGAUAGAGAAAGACAAAUAAAAAAGUGUGAGAGAAUGAAAGAAAAAAAUGGAAGGAAUUAGGAGUGGAGACAAUCCUAAUAGAGGUUAAAGAACUCAUUUUCCACAUGCUGGCAUUGGGUAAUAUAUCAAUCAGUUGUUGGAUCUUGAACUCUCUAUAAGUAUCAAACAAAAUGAGUCUACAUGUAUAUAUAUGUGUGUGUGUGUCUAAUGUCCCAUUUAUCGAUCUCACCCAGAAAUCAUAUAAAAUGAGUCCUUCAGAAAUAGCCAUCCUCAUCCUUGUAUUCCUCACAUUCCUAUGGUCUCUCCUCCGCCUAAUCAAUGCCUCCUCAAGGCAAAGCCGAAACUGCCUCCUGGCCCUACGGCACUACCAAUCAUUGGCAAUCUUCAUAUGCUAGGCAACCUCCCACACCGUAGCCUCCAAAACCUGGCAAAAAAAUAUGGACCUAUAAUGUCCAUGCGUCUAGGGUUCAUACCAACCAUAGUGGUCUCAUCUCCCAAAACAGCAAAGCUAUUCCUCAAAACCCACGACAACAUUUUCGCUAGCUGCCCCAAACUCCAAGCCUCCGAGUACAUGGCCUACGGCACGAAGGCCAUGGCCUUUACUGAAUAUGGCCCAUAUUGGCACCGUAUUCGGAAACUCUACACGCUUCAACUUCUUUGUCCCUCGAAAAUCGAGGGUUUUGCUCCGCUAAGAAGGGAGGAGGUAGGGUUGUUGGUGCAGUCCCUGAAGGUAGCUGCGGAGGCGGGCGAGGUGGUGGAUUUUAGUGAGAAGGUCGGUGAGCUUGUUGAGGGAAUCACGUAUAGGAUGGUGUUGGGGAGAAAAAAUGAUGAUAUGUUUGAUCUCAAGGGGAUUAUUGAGGAAGCCCUAUUCUUGACAGGAGCUUUCAACAUUAGUGAUUAUGUGCCUUUCCUUAGUCCACUUGAUCUUCAGGUAUGUUACCCUUCAUUCUUAAAUACAAACUUGAUAGAUGAAUCAAUAAUAAAACUAGCGAAAUGCUAGGAACACCGUAAAGUAGGGACAUUUAUAAUCAUUGCACACACGCUAUUGCUAAGCACAAAUACAAAGUAGAGGCGUUGCAAAUAAGUGCACACACGUAUGGCAACUGAUUUUAGCACUACUCUUCUAAAAAUAUUUAAACUCUAUUAUUUAGAUGACGUAUUUAGAUGACGUAUGUCAACAAAUAAAGUGAACGAGAUUAAUUCAUAGUUUAGGGAAACCGAGCUCUUUUGGAUGUGCUCUUAAAAUGACUUAAAGUGUUUUUGGUAAAAUUAUUUUUAGAAACAAUCCUUAAUAAAAAUGCUAGCAAAUCUUGGAAAAACACUUAAAUGCUUUCUGGAAGAAGCAAAUAUAACUAGUGCUUCUUGUAGAAAGCACUUCAAAUAUUACUUUUAGAAUCCAAAAACAUUUUUUCUAAAAACGCUUUCAGUCAUUUUAAAAAGUAUAUCCAAACACAGCGAGUAACUAGUUCACAUUCGUACAAAUUAAUCUGAGAGGAAUAUCUGUUUACUUUAGCGAGCUCACUUAUCGUCUUUUUGCUGGUGAUAUGAUUCACAAAGUCAAAGCAUCCACAAAUUGUAAAUGCAAAAUCAUAUGAUUCAUAUCGUAUGGUCCAUUCCAUAGCCUGCUGACGAUAAACUAUCUCCUAAUUAGAGAUGUAAAAAUAUAUUUACAUCUCAUCUCAUUUUAUAGUUUCAAGAGGGGUAGAUGGGAGUUCUAUGCUAAUGAGAGUGAUGUAAAUUUGAGCUUUUAUUUAAUUUUCUCUCUUAGAGUAGCGGAGUCCACCAUACAAAAAAUAUACAUCUAUAUAUAUAUAUAAGUUCUUAUUUAUAUUUUCCAAUCAAUAUUUUCCAUCUUUCUGACCAACUUAAAGUAUUAAAUACAAAUUAUAUACAUCCAUAUAUAUAUAAGUUCUUAUUUAUAUUUUCCAAUCAAUAUUUUACAUCUUUCUGACCAACUUAAAGUAUUAAAUACAAAUUGCUCCCUAUCUUAUGCAUUUGGUUGCCAAUGGCAUCCGGGAUAUUAUUACAAUAGCAAUGGAUUUAAUGCAUAAUUCAUUAUUUUAGGAACCUUAAUUUCUGCAAUCAACUAUACAAAUUUAAAAUAUAUUCAACAUGCUCUUUAAGGGAAGAUCUCCAUUUAAAAAAAAAAAUAGUUGUAGGUCUCACUUCACAUCGAACUUCAAUAAUAAGAAUUGUCUAUAUUUUGUCUCUAUUCAUAGGUCAUUCUUGCAAAAAAAUCAAUUCAAUCCAAAAUCAUUUGGUCAUUUGAUUGUCACGAUGAAAUUUUAAUAUAUGUUUCUUAUAACAUAAUGUUCAUCAAUGUCUUGGAGCUCAAUUAGAUUAAUUGAUGCCUCAAACAUUUUUUAUUUGGCUAAUUUUGCAAGAAUGAUUUAAGAGGUACAACUUGAAAAUAGACAAUUAAGAUAUCAUUGAAGUUCAAUGUAGUAUAGACUCCACAACUAAUCUAAAAAUGAGAAUCCCUUCCCUUAAAAGCAUAUGUUACAUGUAUGUGUUUUUUUUUUCUUAUCCUUCAUAAAGGAUGUAAUACUAAUACUAAGGAUUUUAUUUUACCAUUGAAAAUGAGGAUUUUACAAAAAUUCAAAAGAUAAAAUGCUAGUAAAUAUGUAGAUAUAGAUUUUGAGGCCUUACGUAGUGGGUAAAAUUGAGUUUAAGUCCAAUUUUAUAAGAAUCAAACUCCUAGGGCGGAAAAUUUGCAUUUUACAUGAGUGACUCCGAUUAUUGAGUUUAAUAAUUACUAAUGACUUUAAUUCCAAUAAAUGAUCAACCAUUUGACAGAGAAAAAUAGAGAUUAAUACAUAAAAUAAGGAAAAAAAAGUCCAAUAAUAUUAUAGGAAUCAAACUCAACGUACAUGAUUAUAUAUAGGAAUGAAACUAAACAAAACUAACGUUUCUCUCUGUAAUUGUUCUUUCAUCUCAGAAAAAAGGGUUGCACAUGAUCCCUUAUACCCAUGUGAGAGUGUCACCGUAUGUGCACAUGAUCCCUUAUACCCAUGUGAGAGUGUCACCGUAUGUGCCUAUCCUCACCCAAAAGUUACUCCAAAAAUACAAGAUGUAAUAGCUUUUAUAUAUGCAUUCAUGUCUUGUCCAUUUCAUUGUCUAAUAAAAAUGAUAGCUACAGUACUCAACUAGAAGUACAUAUGAUUGAUUGAUUGUAUGGAAUCUUAACUAUUUCUUCCACUUAGGGAUUGACCAAGCGCAUGAAGAGAGUUAGCAAAACUGUCGACCAACUACUCGAAAAGAUAAUUAAGGAUCAUGAACAAGUUUCCAGAAGUGAGGUACAAGGCAAUCAUCAUAAGGACUUUGUAGACGUGCUGCUUUCAUCAAUCCACCAACCAUUAAACCCCAACGAUGAGGAAGUCUACAUGCUCGAGCGAACAAAUGCCAAAGCCAUUUUACUCGACAUGAUUGCGGGUGCCUUUGACACCUCAGCCACGGCGAUUGUCUGGACCCUGGCAGAACUCUUGAGGCACCCGAAAGUAAUGAAACGUCUCCAAGAAGAGCUCCAGAGUGUGAUCGGGAUGGAUCGAAUGGUGGAAGAAAGUGAUUUGCCAAAGCUGGAUUACUUGAGCAUGGUGGUCAAGGAGAGCUUAAGGCUAAACCCAGUUGCCCCAUUACUAGUCCCUCAUCAAUCCAUGGAGGACAUUACGGUUGAUGGAUAUCACAUACCCAAGAAAUCAAGAGUCUUUAUCAAUAUUUGGACCAUUGGGAGGGAUCCAAGUGUAUGGUCAGAUAAUGUGGAAGAAUUCUACCCUGAAAAGUUUAUGAAUAAUAACGUUGACCUACGUGGACAUGACUUCCAGCUCAUACCAUUUGGGUCUGGUCGAAGAGGGUGCCCUGCUAUGCAAUUAGGGUUAACCACAGUUCGUCCUGUUCUGGGAAACUUGUUGCACUGCUUCAACUGGGAGCUCCCUAGUGGAAUGCUACCUAAAGACUUGGACAUGACUGAGAAAUUCGGCUUAUCGUUGUCGAAAGCCAAACACUUGCUUGCCAUGUCGACCUGUCGCCUGUACAAUGGAAGUUGAUGAUUGGUUUAUUACUUAAGCGUUGAUAGAUGUACUUAUUUCUAUUGGUCACACAUCAUUUAGUUUACAAUUUUAAUCUCUAAAUUUAGUUUCUGUAGCAUUACUCCCUUAAUAUAUAUAUAUAUAUAUAUAUAUAUAUAUAUAUAUAGUAUGUCUAGGCAUAAAUAAACAUUAAUUAACCGUAUAAUUUAGAUUAAUGCAAGUGUCUUGUAGCUCAAUUGAUUAAAAAUAUUAUUCCUUGCCCUUGAGGUCGCUUGUUCGAUUUUCCCUCCCGUAAAAAAUAAUUUGCUUGUCAUCAUGCCCACCUACGUACGUACCGCCUAAACGGUCAACCUUAGUAAGGGGUUGAAAUAAAUGUCUUGUAGUUAUAAUAGUGUUCCUUUGAGUAAUGUUAGAGAGACUAAAUUUGUAGACUAAUUUGCAAACUAAAUGAAAUGUCACAAAUAGGAAAUGAAUAUGUUUAUCAACGUUUAAAUGAUAAUCCAAUUAUCAACUUCCAUAUCAUUUAAUUUACAAAAUUUAAUCUGCCUAUCAUUACUCGUGUUCCUUUUGCCACCUCUGACUAGGAAAGAUUAAAAUAAUUACAUCGUUAAAGUGUUAACCAUAAUACGUUUUUCGUUCUCUUAAUUGAUCUUUAGAAUUAUCUUAUACGUUUUUCAUUCUCUUAAUUGAUGUACAAUUGGAGAUGGUUUAGAUUAAUAUUUCAAUAAUUGCGCCCUUUUUACUUACUUAUCUAAGUUUAUCACUUUAUGUGUGUUUCCCUAGUUUGUUUUGUCUUUUGGGUUUUGCACUUAGGUUUCAUUCAUUCGUUCAUUAUUUCUUUCAUUAUUUCUUUCUUUCCUUCUUCCCACCAUUCUUCUUUCUUUUUUCCCUUUAUAUUUUCUCCACAACUAAAACACAAAAUGUAGAAACUAAAAAUCAAAUAGUCAUCAGACGAGUGCUUAAAUUUUAUUCUCUUAAAAUAUACUUGUUCUCUGGAACUCUCUCAUGUAGCACCCAUCUCGCUAUUUUUUUCUUCUUAUAAUACCACGAUAUGUUGACACCAAAGGAUGAGACAAUAAAUCGGUAUCAAACUUGUCAUUCAUAAGAUUCGAACCUAAGACCUCUCACUUACAAGUGAAUGGUAGUAAAGGAGAAUAUUGUGGUAGCAAAAAUCUAUUGUUUUCGGCCUAGACGAAUUUUUACCUACAAAACAAAUAAACACCUGUGAUCAAAGACAAAGCCCCACACCCAAAGAGUGAGAGGUUUGGCCAAUGGAUCUUCAAUGCCUAAGUCAAUUUCUCUAAAAAGAGAGAGGUUUAGGGCUUAAUUGUGCAGCAAAAGUUUACUAAAAUUUGGUGGAGAAUGGGGUAUUUAUAGGAGCUAGGGUCGCCAUGGAGGAGAGAGAUCUCGCGCUAUGUAUCGUCAUCCAGUUGGCCAAGGUGUGUCAUCCGUUGGAUGGAGUAGGAAAGAAUUAUCCCAAUGAUAUUAUUGAAUAAAUAAUAUCUUAGAAUUAUCUUGUGGAUCCUUGAUUGGAUUUGAUGAAAAUUUCUUGCUUGAUUAUGUAUUGUAGUCAAAUCUCAUAUUUGCACUCGAAUAUAUCAAUGUUACGUAGGUGCAAUUAAGAUAUUUGCCCAAGUUUCAUAUAACCUAUCAGGCACAUGCUUUAACUAGCUUUGGCAAAAUUCUACGAAAAUUUACGAAACCACUAUUUUCAAAGAAUUUUUUUCCACACAACAAGCUUUUUAAAAUUCUUGCUAGACAAUGUAAAGAAGUCUGGAAACGAUAGUAAUGCCAAUUCCAAAGGGCAUUACGUUUUCCUUAUUACUGGCGUAAGGGUUGCAUUUUUCAUAAAAAUUAUUGCUCAUGCUUUUUAAUCGGUUUUUUAUAAACCAACAACAAUUCAUUUUAAAGACUAAGCCGAUCCGUUUACACAGGUAUAUGGUAAACUCCAUACAGUCGCCACACAGACAACGUUCCGUACGUUAUCUUGAAUAAUAGCCAUCGUCCCUUAGGUUAGGUGGAGACAAUCGCUCUGGUAAUGUCUCAUCCGCCAAAACACCAGAAAUUAACCGCAUGCAGUUUGGUUACUUUGGUAUUGCCAGCCAUUUGGUUCUUGUUCAUUUGUUCCUCCAUGUGAUGAACGUGAAAAGUUGAAAACACGGCAUAUAUGUACAACUAGAACAAGACAUGCAGUGUUACUUUCAACAGGUGGCACGUGCUUUGCUACCUCACACUAUCCUCAUUGAAUCCAUAUCCAUCCAUAUUCAAUCAACUCUUGUGCAUUAAGGAUCUUUACGCUUCUUCAAAAUUCUUUCUCUCAAUUUCAUGAAAAUUGCAGAGAGAUGGGCGUAGCUAUUAACAGAACUAUGAAUCUUUAAAGAACACUAUGAACAAGCAGAAAGAAAGAAAACGGAAGAACAAAGUAUAUCUAAUCUCUUAGUAAUGAAGUGUUUUUACAAAGCUUUUCUUACCGAAUGUGAAAAGAUCAAAUGGCUAUAUGUACUAACCAAUCACAAUCUACAAUUACAAUAUUAUCCUUUAACCUCCUUACUCAAUUACAAUCUUAUCCUCUUUAACAAACUCAAUUCCCAACUACCUUUGUAACUAACUUGACUUAUACCUCCUUGCCAGGUGUCAUUGGUUAAUACUCCCCCCUCAAACAUAGCUGGGGAAGUCCCAAGCUAUGGUUGUGAGUUGUUGUGAUCAUUGGAUGUAUGUGCACUUGAAAACUUCAACAUUGCUUGAUGGCUAUCCUGCACCCUGGAAUUGGAAGCUCCCAGUGUAAGAUUAAUACAAUGUUUGACAAAGAUCGGACUGUGAAGACCCUUAGUAAAUACAUCUGCAACCUGCUCUUCAGUUGGGAUAUAAUGCACAGUGAUAUCACCUUUCUGCACUUUCUCUCAAACAAAAUGAAAAUUGGUAUCUAAAUGUUUGAUCCGAGAAUGAAACACUGGAUUGGAGCACAGUGCUAAAGCAGAGAGAUUAUCACAAUGAAGUUUAGGUGGUAUUGGUAUAAACUGAUGCACAUUUUUUAGUAAUGACCUGAUCCAGUAGAUAUCAGCUACACAGUGAGCUAAAGCUUUGUAUUCAACUUCUGUUGAACUUCGAGAUACUGUAGCUUUUUUCUUUGACUGCCAUGAUACAAGAUUAGAUCCAAUAAACACAACAAAUCCAGUAAUAGAUCUCCUUGUAUUUAUAUCGGCUGCCCAAUUAGAAUCAAAAUAUGCAGCAAUUUGAAAAUCAGAUGUUUUGAUAUACUUCAAACCACAGUCUAAGGUUCCUUACAAAUAUCUCAUGAUUCGUUUCACCAGAUGCAUGUGCAAAUCUGUUAGAUGAGUCAUAUACUGACAAACAACAUUAACAGAAUGAGCAAUAUCUGGGCGAGUGAAGGUGAGGUACUGAAGGGCUCCCAUAAGACUUCGAUAAUGAGUAGGAUCAGCUAAACCAUUGCCUUCAUUCACAAGUAACUAAGAGUGAGGCUUAAAUGGUGUUGAUGUGGAUUUACAAUUCUCCAUCCCUGCUUUCUUGAGUAGCUCUUUGGCAUAUUUGGAUUGUGUUACCAUCAAUGAACCAUCAGAAUUAUAGUGAAUUUGCAAUUCCAAGAAAUAUGUUAAUCUGCCCAUAUCCUUUAAAUCAAACACUUCAGCAAGACUAGUGAUAACAAAUUGAAUCUUUUGGGAGGAUGAACCUGUGAGGAUAAUGUCAUCUAUAUAGAGAAGAAGUAGAAUAACAUCCCCAUCCCCAUCGUCAACAUUUACAAACAAACUAGAAUCGGAUAAUGCAGUUUUAAACCCAAGUGCACGAAGAAAGCUUGUAAAUUUUGAAUUCCAGGCCCUUGAUGCCUGUUUAAGACCAUACAAGGACUUAACUAACCGGCAAACAUGAUUUGGAUAUGUAGUAUCAAGAAACCCCUGUGGCUGCUUCAUAUAUACUUCUUCGUCAAGAUCACCAUGAAGGAAAGCAUUCUUGAUAUCCAAUUGUCUCAAGUUCCAAUUAAAUUGUACUGCCAAAGCAAGAAUUAUUUUGACUGUAGUAUGCCUGACCAUUGGACUGAAUGUCUCAGAAUAGUCCAAGCCCUUAUUUUGACUAAACCCUUGUGCCACUAAUCGUGCCUUAUACCUGGAUAUAGUGCCAUCUAAAUUUCGUUUGAUUUUAUAGACCCAUUUACUCCCAAUAACUUCUCUAUUGGAUGGAAGAGGAACUAGUCUCCAGGUCCCUUGAGCCUUUAAGGCAUCAAAUUCCUCCUGCAUAGCCUGCUGCCACUGAGUGACUUUUGAUGCAGCUCGAAAGUGUUUUGGUUCUUCACUCUCUCCAAUAUCAGCAAGGAAAGAGAAACCACAAUGAUCCAUUGUAGUAGCAGAGACUAAAGAAGGUCCAAUAUUAACAGAACUAUGAAUCUCUAAAGAACACUAUGAACAAGCAGAAAGAAAAAAAAAACGGAAGAACAAAGUAUAUCUAAUCUCUUAGUAAUGAACUGUUUUUACAAAGCUUUUCUUACCGAAUGUGAAAAGAUCAAAUGGCUAUAUGUACUAACCAAUCACAAUUUACAAUUACAAUAUUACCCUCUAACCUCCUUACUCAAUUACAAUCUCAUCCUCUUUAACAAACUCAAUUCCCAACUACCUUUGUAACUAACUUGACCUACACCUCCUUGCCAGGUGUCAUUGGUUAAUAGUAGCUGCAUGAGUACAAGUCGAAAUAUUAUUGUUUAUAUAAAACAAUUCAUAUAAAUUCGAUUUUUUUUUUUUUUGCGAUCAUUUGGUUAAAUUUCGUUUUGCAUGUAGUGGGGUAGAAUAGAAUUCUCUCCCCUCAUAAUCUCUCUUCUUUUUCCUCCUCUUCUAUUGGAACGGUUACGAUUAAGAAAAUUCUUGCUAAAAAAUGUAAAGGAGUUUGGAAACGAUACUAAUUAAGGUUUCCUUACUGGCUUUACAAAUUGCAUUUUUCACCAAAAUAGUUGCUCACGUUUUUUAAUCGAUUUUUCUAAAUAAAAAAAACAACAAUUCAUUUUAGAACUAAGCCGAUCUGUUUACACAUGUGUAUGUGUAAACUUCAUAUAGUCAGUGACAUACCCCGACCGAGAUCGAGGCAUGCUAGCCGUCAUGUGAGGGUGACGUAGCCACGUGCACAGUGCGGAAGCAAUAAAGAUAAGAAAUAUACGAAUAAAUAAAAACCGAAAGCUACUAAUGUGCACUAAUAAACAGGAAGUGCUAGGAGUGAGAUACAAGUGUAAAUACUCCUAAUCAGAGCAUAGAAAGUCUAGGUGCAGUCCAAUAGGACAAGUACUAGUUAUACAAUACCAGAAGAUGUCCUAUAAAUAUUUUAUUCUGUCAAAACUGCUAAGAUCCUCAAUGUCACCAACAACAAAUCUAACUAAAACCUAAAGGCGCACAAAACAGAAAAUAUGAGUGGGCACAAACAAAGAUUUUCAAAACCAUUUCAUUUAUCAAACGCUUUAACCACUCGCCGUAAAACAUGUAUAAUUUUUCCUAGAAAUAGAAUAUAAACAUAUGCAUAUAUAUAUAUAUAUAUAUAUAUAUCAAUUUAAAUGAUGCUUCACAUAACCAUAUUCAUAAGUAUGUCAUGCCAAAACAUAAAAUAGAAUAAGUAACUUAGGUGAGAAUAAAUUCAUGGAAAAUAACAUAUUAGCCGGAACCCCUGUAGAAGUUUGUACGGCUAAAUUCAUAGCUCAUUAGUCAAUCUAACCGGAGUCACUACAAUGACCUAUACGACACUACACUGCAUACAAGUCGGAACCACUAAAAUGGUCUGUACGACAAGACUGGGUGUAAUAUAAUUAUGCUCCAUACUACUCUCUCAUGAUAGCUGGGCGAUAAAUCGCUAGUCACCUACGAGUCGGAACCACCUAUGAUGGUCUAUAAGACAAGACUAUGCACCUAAAUUGGAUCCAAUGUGAGCAUAUGAUGCGGGAGGUGACAUUAUAAACAGGUUUGUGUCAUAUCUCUGGCUAAAUCACUAACACCGGGGUGUAGGUUUAUGAGCUCAAUAUUUCUCAAUUAAUCACAACCGUUAAUCACAUUCACAAUUCAUAAACUCACUCGGGCUUACCAGACCAUCCACAGCACCACAAUUAUAUAUAUAUAUAUAUGCAAACAUCAUAUGCAUAUUCUAAAUAUAAAACGUUUGGCAUAGAUCAAAUUAUAACUCAUUUAAAUGCAUUUUUUGGGAAAUAUCAAGCAUAUACAUAUAUACUUAAAACCAAAGCCCACUCACUGGUAUGUCGAAGGGUCGUAGCCCCCGAGUCACCCUUGACUGCGCUCGUCCUCGGGAUAAGUCUCCCCUAUAUGCAAAACAACUAUGAAAACGUUAAUUUAAAGCACAUAACCAAUACUAGCUAAUAAUUUCUCAUAAAUUGCUCUAAUGGGAUGUUUGAAUAUACCAACGCGAUCUACACAACCUCACGAACAUCCCCAUAGUUUUAAAAUAAUUUUUCAACAUCCCACGCGUCGGCAAGGGCACGACAACACGCGCAGCCAGGCGCAGGGACCCUAACGGAAUCCCUUAACCCCGUUAGGAAUAUUCCGUUAAAUAGUAACAGAAUCCGCUAAACUAACCAACGCUGUUAGGAAUAUUUGGUCAAAGUUGACGGAAUAUUCUAUCAUCUCCUACCUUCGAACUCCGGCAACCGUCGCCGUCGCCGUCGCAAAAAACUGGGAAAAUCUUAUAAUCCUUAUAUGUCUGUCGUUUCUUAACCAAAACUUAUGAAAUUGGUCUCAAUUUAAAGCUUAUAACUAGAAGAACACAUCCUUACCAAUUUCAAGGCUUGAAAUCCACGAAAGCUCGCCGGAGAGAGCUCGAUAAUUCCGGCCAAAUUUCAAACUCUCCAAACUCAACUUCCUGACGUCCAAUUUGCUUGAUUUUUCUUCUCUGAGCUUAGUACGAACGUCCUAAAGCUUCCUAUAAGCUUAAAAUCACCUGAAAUAUCCAUAAUUACGACCACAUGAACAGUACUCAAAUCGGGGGUGAUGGUUCCUCGGGUUUUUGAAGGUUUCACGAUUUACAAAUGGCAUAUAUGAACUCAGGGACUUGCAAGGAGUUCAAAUCUUACCUUCUUGACGUCGAUCCAUGCGUAAAAUGUGAGUUUGGAGUUCAUCCAUACAUUUUGUACGAAAAUGGUAUGAAGGCCGAGAGAAGGAGAGAACGCACGAGGUGUUUUUUGUGUGUGUGUGUGUGUGUGUCCUCACUUGGUCACCCAACAAAACAACACCUAAGUUUAAUUUUUUACUUGAGUCCAAAACUUAGGAACUCAACAUAGUAGUCUACAUUCCAAAAGCAUGUCACACACGUCACAAUCUUGACAUCCAAGGGUAAAAUCAUCAUUUCACACCGUCAAAACUAAAUGUUUCGGGACGGGCUGUGACAAUCUAAAUUGUCACAUCCUGGCCCGGUCCCCCACCAUAUCCCGGGCUCAACUCUGCCGUAGCACGAUAUUGUCCACUUUGGGCCCCGACCACGCCCUCACGGUUUUGUUUCUAGGAACUCACAUGAGAACUUCCCAGUGGGUCACCCAUCCUGAGAUUGCUCUCGUGCGAACUCACUUAACUUCAGAGUUCCAAUGGAACUUGAAGCCAGUGAGCUCCCAAAAGGCCUCUUGCUAGGUAGAGAUGGGAAUAUACAUAUAAGAUUUAGAUGAUCCACUCUCCUGGGCGAUGUGGGAUGUUACAGUCAGCACACAAACAAUGCUUCAUACGUUAUCUUGAACUAGCAUCUUGUCGUACGCGUAUGCAUGUUACAAAAUAUAUUAAGAAAUUCAAUUUUUUAUUUAUUUAUAUAUUUUUGAAAAUAAAUUAGAAGUUAAACAUAAACCAUCCACUAACAUGGGGUUUUGUUAUUUUUUUCUUUCUAAGUUUAAAAUUUUAAAUUCGUUCAAAAUUAAUAUUUGUUGAAUUAUUUUAACUCCUUUUAAUUCAAUAGUAAUUUAAAAAAAAAAUUGGAGGCAAUUUAUGGUAUUUUGAAAUUAACCUGCAUGCAUGCAGUUUGACUACUUUGGCCUCCCAGCCAGUCGGUUCUUGUCCAUUUUUUCCACCCUGUUAUGAAAGUGAAAUAUACCUAUAGCUAUAAUGUACUACGAGAACAUGAGACAUGCAGUGUUACUUUCAACAGGUGGUACGCCUUGCUACCUCACACUUAUCCUCCUUGAAUCCAUAUCUACACAUUCAAUCAACUCUUGUGCAUUACGUACGUCGCUAUGCUUCUUCAAAAGUCUCUCAAUUUCAUAAAAAUUGCAGAGCUGGGUGUAGCUACAUAAGCUGCAAAAGCACAAAUCGAAGUAUUAUUGCUUAUAUAAAAGAAUUCAUAUAACUUUGCUUUCUUCUUUUUUUUUUCUUUUUUUUUUUUAGACCAUACGGUUAAAUUUCAUUUUGCAUGUCUUAGGGUAAAGGGAGUUAUGAUUUUCUCUCCUUCUAAUCUCUCUCCCCUUUCUUCCCAUCUUAUUUGAAUAGUUACGAUUAAGUCAUAUCAACAUCUUAUAUUGAUUUCUUUAUAGAGAGAGAAAGACAAAGAUGAAAGUGUGAGAAGAGGGGAGGAAAAUGGGGAGGAUUAGGGGGGAAAGAAUUGUAGUCCAGGGUAAAGAACUCAUUCACAUGCAAGAUUUGAGUCCAUUAUCAAUCAGCCGUUGGAUCUUGAACUCUCUAUAAGUAUGAAACAAAAUGAGUCCAUCUAUCUCACCCAAAAAUCAAUAAAAAAAGAUUCCAUCAGAAAUAGCCAUCCUAAUCCUUGUAUUUCCUUGCCUUCCUGUGGUCUCUCCUCUGCAUCCUAAUCAAUGUCUUCUCAAGGAAAAGCAAAAAACUACCUCCUGGCCCUAGGGCACUACCAAUCAUUGGCAAUCUUCAUAUGCUAGGCGACCUCCCACACUGCAGCCUCCAAAACCUAGCAAAAAAAUAUGGACCUAUACUGUCGAUGCGUCUAGGGUUCAUACCAACCAUAGUGGUCUCAUCUCCCCAAGCAGCAGAGCUAUUCCUCAAAACCCACGACACCAUUUUUGCUAGCCGCCCCAACAUUGGUGUUAUGUGCCUUUCCUUAGUCCACUUGAUCUUCAGGUAUGUUACCCUUCAUUGUUAAUUACCAAACUUUACCCUUCAUUGUUAAUUACCAAACUUGUUACAUGAAAAAAGUAUCUAGGAGACCGGCCAAUGUCCACUUCUAACAAUACUAAUAUUGUCUUUAACUUGUUGAUUACUACAUGCUCAGUCCGACAAGUAUGAAGGUUUAUUAUAAAAGACUUCAGUAUUAGUUGAAAGAGUUAAAAUAUUUGAACUUUUUUUUUCUUUGUCUCUGUCCAAUGUCAGAUAGUUAAACAUACCCUCUUACGUAAGACCCAUUUAGUGGGUCAUACGUGAGAAAUCCACACAUCGGCAACCAUGUGGAGCCAAAUUAUAACCUCUCUAAAUAAUUAUUAAAAAAAUAAAUAAUUUAAUCAUAACAUUUGUAAAAUUUACUAUCGUUUCCAAACUUCUUUACAUUGUCUGGCAAGAAUUUUAACAAGCUUGUGGUGUGGAAAAAAAUUCUUUGAAAAUAGUGCUUUGUAUAAUUUUCUUAGAAUUUUGUCAAAACUAAUUAAAGCCUGUGUGUAACACUUUAGAUGAAACUUGGGUAAAUAUCUUAUGUUGCACCUGCGUAAAAUUGAUAUAUUUGAGUGAAUCACGUGGAAAAGUUGAAAACGCAGCAUGUAAGUACAACUAGAACAAGACAUGUUACUUUCAAAAGAUGGCACACGUAUCCUCAUGUUGUCCAUAUCCAUCCAUAUUCAAUGAACUCUUGUGCAUUCCGCCCCCACCCACCCACCACCCCCCACCCCAAAACCAAGAAAAGUGAAUCACGUGGAAAAGUUGAAAACACAGCAUGUAUGUACAACUAGAACAAGACAUGUUACCUUCAAAAGAUGGCACACGUAUCCUCAUGUUGUCCAUAUCCAUCCAUAUUCAAUCAACUCUUGUGCAUUCUUCUUCAAAAUUCUCUCUCAAUUUCAUGAAAAUUACAGAAGUAGGCGUAGGGUAAAGGGAGUAAAAUUGUAUCCCCUCUUUAUCUCUCUUCCUUUUUCUUCUCUCCAAUUUGAACGGUUUACAAUUAAACCAUGUCAACAUCUUUUAUUGACUUCUUUAUAGAUAGAGAAAGACAAAGAAAAAAGUGUGAGAGAAGGAAAGAAAAAGGGGAAGGAAUUAGGAGUGGAGACAAUCCUAAUGGAGGUUAAAGAACUCAUUUGCCACAUGCUAGCAUUUGGUAAUAUAUCAAUUAGUUGUUAGAUCUUGAACUCUCUAUAAGUAUCAAACAAAAUGAGUCUACAUGUAUAUAUAUGUGUGUGUGUCUAAUGUCCCAUUUAUCGAUCUCACCCAGAAAUCAUAUAAAAUGAGUCCUUCAGAAAUAGCCAUCCUCAUCCUUGUAUUCCUCACAUUCCUAUGGUCUCUCCUCCACCUAAUCAAUGCCUCCUCAAGGCAAAGCCGAAAACUGCCACCUGGCCCUACACCACUGCCAAUCAUUGGCAAUCUUCAUAUGCUAGGCGACCUCCCACACCGUAGCCUCCAAAACCUGGCAAAAAAAUAUGGACCUAUAAUGUCCAUGCGUCUAGGGUUCAUACCAACCAUAGUGGUCUCAUCUCCCAAAGCAGCAAAGCUAUUCCUCAAAACGCAUGACACCAUUUUCGCUAGCCGCCCCAAACUCCAAGCCUUCGAGUACAUGGCUUACGGCUCGAAGGUCAUGGCCUUUAUUGAAUAUGGGCCAUACUGGCGCCAUAUUCGGAAACUUUGCACACUUCAACUUCUUUGUCCCUCGAAAAUUGAGGGUUUUGCUCCGCUAAGAAGGGAGGAGGUAGGGUUGUUAGUGCAGUCCCUGAAGGUAGCUGCGGAGGGGGGCGAGGUGGUGGAUUUUAGUGAGAAGGUUGGUGAGCUUGUUGAGGGAAUCACGUAUAGGAUGGUGUUGGGGAGAAAAAAUGAUGAUAUGUUUGAUCUCAAGGGGAUUAUUGAGGAAGCCCUAUUCUUGACAGGAGCUUUCAACAUUAGUGAUUAUGUGCCUUUCCUUAGUCCACUUGAUCUUCAGGUAUGUUACCCUUCAUUCUUAACUACCAAACUUGUUAGAUGAAUCAAUAAUAAAACUAGGGAAAUGCUUGGACCACUGUAAAGUAGGGACAUUUAGAUUGCACGCACGCUAUUGCUAAGCACAAAUACAAAGUAGAGGCGUUGCAAAUAAGUGCAUGCACGUAUGCGCGACUGAUCUUAGCACUACUCCUCUAAAAAUAUUUGAACUCUAUUAUUUAGAUGACGUAUUUCGAUGGAUCCAUCAACAGGAGCAAAAGCAGUGUUAGCAAAUAAAGUGAACGAGAUUAACUCGUAGUUUUAGGAAACUGAGCUCGUUUGGAUGUAGUUUUAAAAUGACUAAAAGUGUUUUUGGUAAAAUUAUUUUUAGAAACAAUCCUUCAUAAAAACGCUAACAGAUCUUGGAAAAGCAUUUAAAGUGCUUUCUGGAAGAAGCAAGUAUAACUAGUGCUUCUUGUAGAAAGCACUUCAAAUAUUGCUUUUGGAAUCCAAAAACAAUUUUUCUAUAAGCGCUUUCAAUCAUUUUAAUAGCAUAUCCAAACUCAGCCAAUAACUAGUCCGCAUUCGUACAAAUUAAUCUGAGAGGAAUAUCUGUUUACCUUAGCCAGCUAACUUAUCGUCUUUUUGCUGGUGAUAUGAUUCACAAAGUCUAAGCAUCCACAAAUUAUAAAUGCAAUACCAUAUGAUUCAUAUCGUAUGGUCCAUUCCAUAGCCUGCUGACGAUAAACUAUCUUCUAAUUCGAGAUGUAGAAACAUAUUUACAUCUUAUUUUAUAGUUUCAAGAGGUGUAGAUGGAAGUUCUAUGCUAAUGAGAGUGAUGUAAAUUUGAGCUUUUAUUUAAUUUUCUCUCUUAGAGUAGCGGAGUCCACCAUAAAAAAAAUAUACAUCCAUAUAUAUAAGUUCUUAUUUAUAUUUUCCAAAUCAAUAUUUUACAUCUUUCUGACCAACUUAAAGUAUUAAAUACAAAUUGCUCCCUAUCUUAUGCAUUUGGUUGCCAAUGCCAUCCGGGAUAUUAUUACAAUAGCAAUGGAUUUAAUGCACAAUUCAUUAUUUUAGGAACCUUAAUUUCUGCAAUCAACUAUACAAAUUUAAAAUAUAUUCAACAGGCUCUUUUAAGGGAAGAUCUCCAUUUAAAAAAUAAAUAAAAAAUAAAAAUUAGUUGUAGGGCUCAUCCCACAUCAAACUUCAAUAAUAAGAAUUGUCUAUAUUUUAUCUCUAUUCAUAGGUCAUUCUUGCAAAAAAACAAUUCAAUCCGAAAUCAUUUGGUCAUUUGAUUGUCACGAUGAAAUUUUAAAGUUUCUUAUAACAUAAUGUUCGUCAAUGUCUUGGAGCUCAAUUAGAUUAAUUGAUGCCUCAAACAUUUUUUAUUUGGCUAAUUUUGCAAGAAUGAUUUAAGAGGUACAACUUGAAUUGAAAAUAGACAAUUCGGAUAUCAUUGAAGUUCAAUGUCGUAUAAGACUGCACAAGUAAUCUAAAAAAUGAGAAUCCCUUCCCUUAAAACCAUAUGUUACAUGUAUGUUUUUUUUUUCUUCUUAUCCUUCAUAAAGGAUGUAAUACUAGUAAUAAGGAUUUUAUUUUACCAUUGAAAAUGAGGAUUUUACAAAAAUUCAAAAGAUAAAAUGCUAGUAAAUAUGUAGAUAUAGAUUUUGAGGCCUUACGUAGUUGGGUAAAAUUGAGUUUAAUUCCAAUUUUAUAAGAAUCAAACUCCUAGGGUGGAAAAUUUGCAUUUUACAUGAGUGACUCCGAUUAUUGAGUUUAAUAAUUACCAAUGACUUUAAUUCCAAUAAAUGAUCAACCAUUUGACAGAGAAAAAUAGAGAUUAAUACAUAAAAUAAGGAAAACAAAAGUCCAAUAAUAUUAUAGGAAUCAAACUCAACGUACAUGAUUAUAUGUGGGAAUGAAACUAAACAAAACUAACGUUUCUCUCUGUAAUUGUUCUUUCAUCUCAGAAAAAAGGGUUGCACAUGAUCCCUUAUACCCAUGUGAGUGUGUCACCGUAUAUGCCUAUCCUCACCCAAAAGUUACUCCAAAAAUACAAGAUGUAAUAGCUUUUAUAUAUGCAUGCAUGUCUUGUCCAUUUCAUUGUCUAAUAAAAAUGAUAGCUACAGUACUCAACUAGAAGUACAUAUGAUUGAUUGAUUGUAUGGAAUAUUAACUAUUUCUUCCACUUAGGGAUUGACCAAGCGCAUGAAGAGAGUUAGCAAAAUUGUCGACCAACUACUCGAAAAGAUAAUUCAGGAUCAUGAACAAGUUUCCAGAAGUGAGGUACAAGGCAAUCAUCAUAAGGACUUUGUAGACGUGCUACUUUCAUCAAUCCACCAACCAUUAAACCCCAACAAUGAGGAAGUCUACAUGCUCGAGCGAACAAAUGUCAAAGCCAUUUUACUCGACAUGAUUGUGGGUGCCCUUGACACCUCAACCACGGCAAUUGUCUGGACCCUGGCCGAACUCUUGAGGCACCCGAAAGUAAUGAAACGUCUCCAAGAAGAGCUCAAGAGUGUGAUCAGGAUGGAUCGAAUGGUGGAAGAAAGUGAUUUGCCAAAGCUGGAUUACUUGAGCACGGUUGUCAAGGAUAGCUUAAGGCUACACCCAAUUGCCCCAUUACUAGUCCCUCAUCAAUCCAUGGAGGACAUUACAGUUGAUGGAUAUCACAUACCUAAGAAAUCAAGAGUUUUUAUCAAUAUUUGGACCAUUGGGAGGGAUCCAAGUGUAUGGUCAGAUAAUGUGGAAGAAUUUUACAAUGAAAGGUUUAUGAAUAAUAACGUUGACCUACGUGGACAUGACUUCCAGCUCAUACCAUUUGGGUCUGGUCGAAGAGGGUGCCCUGCUAUGCAAUUAGGGUUAACCACAGUUCGUCUUGUUCUGGGAAACUUGUUGCACUGCUUCAACUGGGAGCUCCCUAGUGGAAUGCUACCUAAAGACUUGGACAUGACUGAGAAAUUUGGCUUAUCGUUGUCGAAAGCCAAACACUUGCUUGCCAUGCCGACGUGCCGUUUGUACAAUGGAAGUUGAUGAUUGGUUUAUUAGUUAAGCUUUGAUAGAUGUGCCCAUUUCUAUUGGUGACACAUCAUUUAAUUUACAAUUUUAGUCUCUUUAGCAUUACUCCCUUAAUAUAUAUAACAUUAAUUAACCAUA
rnacentral:lncRNA from 1 species